AAAAUGAAAGUUGUAGCCUUUUGUGUCUAGUUUUCAGAAAAAUAAACCAUUUAGAAUUUGGAAUUGUGUAAAAAAAGUUAUGGCUGGUAUACUACAGGCUAUCCGGGAAAAUGAAGAAGAAAUAUUUGUUGCACAGGACUGACUUUGCCAGCUUAUAUCUCAAAAUCUAUAAGGAAUUGGGAGAUGAACAAAACAUGAAUAUUGUAGAUCUUGGUGUCUAAUUUUCAUAAAGUUAAACCAUUUAUCAUUUGGAAUUUUAUACAAAAAGUUAUAACCAUUAUACUAGAAGCUGUCUGAGAAGAGUUUGGAAAUGGCUUUUGAGAAUUUUAUUCAUCACGAACGCGAUGGGAGGCCCGUGAAUGCGAAGAAGGGUUGCCUGGCAGUGUAUAAGUUUGCAAAAAUAGGUUUGGCUCAUUUCAUCUCAUUUCCUCCAUGGGAGACAACCUAUGAGCGAUUUUGGAGCUCCAUCUUUAUCAUCCAUGUCAAGGUAAGUGAUUCCACCUAUUGCAAGUUAAAUACUUGGAUUAUAUAUAGAUUUUAAUAUGGAAAUUCAUGAAAUGUUAGUGAAAAUUUGGGAUUUUGGUAGAAAACCUAAAAAAAAUAGUAUUUUUAGAUUUUGAUCACGAAUUUGGGCAUGGAAUUGAGAAUAAAUUAUAUAUUUGAGUUCAUGAUGUUAUGGGUAAUAUUUGUCUUCGAAAAUUUUUGGAAUCCGGGCACGUGGGACCGAGGGUGAUUUUCGACUUUUUGAUUGGGAUUAGAACUUGUUAUAAAUUAGAUUAUAAUGAGUAUUUGAGUAUAUAUUUAUGGGUUUGCACAAUUAUUGACUAGUCUUGGAGCAUUGAGCAUCGGUUUGAGUCGUCGGAAGGGCUUGGGAGCCGAAUAUGGAACUUCGGAGUGAGGUAAGUCUCCUUCCUAACCUUGUAAGAGGGAAUUUAUCCUAUAGGUGAAAUAAUUCAAUAUGUGCUUCUAUUUGUGAGGGUUGCGUACACACGAGGUGACGAGAGUCCGUGCGUAGCUACUAUAUUGCUUAUGUCUGGGUAGUCUAGGACCCAAAUCACGUUAUAUUUGUGAUUCUUGCAUCCUACUUGUUAAGUUAACCAUUUAAAAUAUAUUGAAACUUGAUAAAGGAAUUUCAAAAGGUUAAACUUCACCUACUUGGGUUUUGGAUGGGUUACUUGACCGUUAAAGAGAAUUGAUAUUUCUUUGAACAUCAAACCUAAAUAAAUCCUUGAUUUGGUUGUUUGAAUGUAUUUAUCUUUUGUGGAACGGGCCGCACGCCUCAGCAGAUUAAAUAGAUGCAUCUAUGGUUCGCGCCGUUUAACCCUUCGGCAGUGCACAGUUUAAUAUUAUGUUGGAUCGAGUCGUAUGACCUCGGCAUAAUUUGCGCAUGACUUAAUUGAUUGUUUUGGAAUUAUUGAUAAUUGAUGUGGCUUCACUGGCCGGAGAUAUAAAUUGUUAAAAGAUGAAAAUAAAUUUAGAAAUCUCCUAUUAACAAAAGAAUUAUUUACCUACUUCAUGUUAUUGAGUUUACAGUUGCCUUAUAAAAUCCAUAAUUUAUCAUAUUAUCGGUAUAUUAUUGUUGGCCAUAGUAAGUGUCGGAGUCGACCUCUCGUCACUAGUUCUUCAAGAUUAGACUGGAUACUUUCUGGGUAUGCGUUGUUUUCGUACUCAUACUACACUUGCUGUACAUUAGGCACAUGUAUGUCUAGUGGCCUUGAGGGCGCAGUGGCGUAGUUGAUACGGGGACUUAGGGGAGUUGCAUCCUAUGAGACGAUUCGCAACCAGCAAAGUCUCCUUCAAAGCACUUGUAUUUUUCUUUUCUGUCCAAAUUUAUAUUCCGGGCAGUUAUUGUAUUUUAUUUUAUUUUCUAGUAAAUAUUCAUGUACUUGUGACAUCGGAUUCUGGGAGAAUUAUGGGAUACUCAGUAUUGAAAUUGGAAAAUAUUAUUACUAUUCUGCAAAGUUUGCCUUUUUAUUAGUUAAGUUGAAGGAAAUUUAUAAUUUCAAUAAAAUAUUAAAAUGAGAAUUUAAUUAACUAUUUAGUGUUGGCUUGUUUGACAGUGAUAUCCGACGCUAUUACGACCUUUAACGGAUUUUGGGUCAACCACUUCCUUUGCCUCUCCUCCUGGCUCCUACGACAAAUUCGGCUCCAUUAUUAUUGGGGAUCUUCUUAAAAAUAUAACGUCCAAUACAAUACGUUGCACCUAAUAAUCAUAUUUUUCAGUUUAUACUUGCAUAACCAAUAUUUUCUUGCAAUAAUAUUUAUACACUGUAUAUAUUAUUUAUGUACCUAUAUAAUCAAUGUAUCUACCUUUUAUAAAUAUUUAUAAUAGUGCAUAAAAUAUAUAAAACCUUGUACAAAAAUGUAUAAACGUCGCUAGCUGUACUUACGAAUUUCUUAUGUGAUUUUCAAUUACAACCUAUCCAAAACCAAUCCAAAUCUUCACCAAUUGACUUUAAAUUUUGUAGACAACCUCAUUAAUUAGAAUAUUUUUAAUGGGAGAAAUUCAAAAAUAACCAGAUUUACAAGGGGUAUUUGCAUCUAUACCCGUACAGGGCUGAAGUAGCAAAGGCAAUCACGCAAAACUUCAGCAUUCUAGUAGUCGGGUCUGAAGUUCAACUCUAGAGCUCAAGUUUUUGUUUUGUAACUGGUGAACUUCAGCUCUAGAGCUGAAAUUUUUGUUUUUGUAACUGGCGAACUUCAGCUCUAGAGCUGGCUGAAGUUAUUGAGUUCAUUUGUAAAUUUAGCCCUCAGAAAGUUUUUACUCACACAUCAUGUAGUAGAAAAACUCAUCUUGUAGCCUACACUUCAAAACCUACAUUAGAUGUUGCUAUUUGCUCAGUUAGUGGUUGCUCAAGUAUCCGACAUUUUCAAUUUUGACAAUACGUGCCAGUUAUUGAAAACAAAGGAAGCAACGGAACUGGAUUUGCAUUCACGACUGGUAUCAGGUUUUGGCUAAGAACCAAAUAAAAAGAAACAUGAAUGCCCUAAUGCCAGUUGAAGCAAGGGUAACUUGGGAAAACAUAUUACUAACUUACGUAAUUAUUUAUAAUUUAUUUUAAAUUAAUCUGAUAAAUAAUAUUUAUUGGCAAUCAUCCCACUGAACUAAUGUUCCAUAGCAACACCAACAGCAGCAGAAGAAAGAAGAAGAAGAAGAAGAAGCANNNNNNNNNNNNNNNNNNNNNNNNNNNNNNNNNNNNNNNNNNNNNNNNNNNNNNNNNNNNNNNNNNNNNNNNNNNNNNNNNNNNNNNNNNNNNNNNNNNNNNNNNNNNNNNNNNNNNNNNNNNNNNNNNNNNNNNNNNNNNNNNNNNNNNNNNNNNNNNNNNNNNNNNNNNNNNNNNNNNNNNNNNNNNNNNNNNNNNNNNNNNNNNNNNNNNNNNNNNNNNNNNNNNNNNNNNNNNNNNNNNNNNNNNNNNNNNNNNNNNNNNNNNNNNNNNNNNNNNNNNNNNNNNNNNNNNNNNNNNNNNNNNNNNNNNNNNNNNNNNNNNNNNNNNNNNNNNNNNNNNNNNNNNNNNNNNNNNNNNNNNNNNNNNNNNNNNNNNNNNNNNNNNNNNNNNNNNNNNNNNNNNNNNNNNNNNNNNNNNNNNNNNNNNNNNNNNNNNNNNNNNNNNNNNNNNNNGAUCGGUCCGAAAACUGACUAGACCCACGCUAUUUUAACAUUUUUAAUAGGUCUAAACAACACCCACGCUAGAUCUCUUACAAAAAUCAGAUUCAAAAGUUAUAUCCACUUUUUUAUGUCUGUUCAACGAAGGUUAGUUACCAUUCUAAUCUAAUUUUUACCAUCCAAAUCUUACAAAGUAAGUAUUCCAACCACAAUUUGAGCUCCAACCACAAUAAUAUGUCAGUUUGUCAACUAACAAUUAAUAUGAGUCAUAAUUUCAUAGGUCCUAUGAUGAUAAAUACAGAGUGAUGUGUGCUCUGUGUAUAUUUUUUAAUUGAAAAAAAAGAUGAAUCUAAAAAUUUCUCUUAUAAUAUACUUUAGCCGAAUACUUAGCGAGACUUUGCAGGAAAAAAAUUUACUAAAACCUUGUGCAUCACAAGUAAUUUACUUAUUUUAAAGUGUGUAAGCAUUUUAUUUUAAAAACUUAAAUUAUGAGAAAACACAUUUUGUCUUCAAUACACUCCUCCCUCACAUGCUGAUUUGAUUAAUUUUUAUCGGCCAAGCACGUAAUAUUUCAGUGAAUGGUUCAGUAAGGGGUUCUACAAUCAAAUCAAAGUAGAGACGAGUUAAAAGUUUGUGUUAAUUCUAAAAGAAUUUGGAAUACUUGACGUUGGCGUGAUACAGUAGAGUUCUGGGUCAUCAACUAACUAAUGAUAGGCAUCUUCAGUGGAUAUGUUGUUUGGAUAAGUAUUGACUCUUUUCAUCCAAAAAGAAGACUUCAUCAGGUGACCGUUGAAAGGAGCAUACUUCCACAUUAGCAACGGCCUUUGUCCUUCCUCCCCAUUGGAAAAUUCUUCACAACUUAACUAAUGGUCUAGGAAUGAUAUUCUCUUCAACACGCACCACUACUAACACUUAAUUACACAUUAAAUAAUUUCCAAAACGAAAAAAACACCUUAUCUCCCUAGUCCAACAUUGUCCAUCAGCACAAAUCUCCGUACACUAUCUUAUUCUUACCUUGUGCAAAUAGAUAGGUUAUUUCCGAUAUACUUCCGACUCACACUAGCAUAGUGCAACAUUAAAGCAAAAAAGAUAUAGUAAUGAAAGAGUCAUGAAAAUGAAGUAAUAACAUUGAAAUAGUGACAAAAUCGAAGCAGAAGCAACAUCUGAUAGUGAUAGACAUUCAAGAAUAAGACAAAAAUAAGAGUAAUACUAAAAUUACUAGUAAUGACAGGAAGACAGCUCUACGACCUACUAAUCUUCUACUCUAAUUCUUGAUCUCCACAACUUACUGUCAAAAAUCAUUUUCUUACAUUAAAUCACAAAAUUGCUUUAGUUAUAGCAUUGCAAGAUACGAAUACUUAAGAAAAGAAUUGGGAAAGCUUGGAUAGAUAAAAUUAAGCAUAACACAAGAAAUGAUUACACUCAUUGAUCACCUCAGUGCUUACUCCUAGCAUAUUGCUAUCAAGUGAAAAUAAUCUAGCUAACUUCAACUGAACUGAAGUAAUUUAAUUUUAACUUUCAUUUUAUCCUUCACGAGGAAAUACCAAGUAUGUAUGACUUAUUUUGGCUCAUAAAUUUUAAUUUAUUUAUUUAUUUUUUGAAUUUUGUGUCCAAUCAAAAUGCAUUACAUAAAAGCAGUAUACAACAUUUUUAACUUAUAUACACGGUCAACUUAAAAUAAAUUUUAUACCACACAAACUUGGAAGAAACACAUUUUAUAUCAAAGAGAAGUUGUGAUGAAGCAGUUUUGGCCGUUAAGGAAAAAAAGGACUUUUGGCCGUCAAAGAACAAGCUAUAAGAAAAAAGAGUGCAAGAUUAAUUCUUGCGGAAUGUCAUCCAAAAAAUAAAUAAUAAAUAAAUUUAGCACUUUAGGGGAAAAAAUUAAAAUGUUCAGAAAGUUAGUCGGGCAAAGAUCUACAAAUGAAAGUUUUGGGAGAAAAAUAAUCCUUUUUCUUUCGUGAAACUUGUAACGAUUAAAAAGUACUUGAGCAAAUAGUGAUGAAAGGGACAAGGGUAAACCGAUUAGAGCCAAUAUGCUGAGAAAAGCUGUGACGAUACUCUCAUCUCCAUCUCCCAUAUAAUGUACGGUCUCCGACUUCCGUCCAAUCUCUUCCCCUAACGGCUGUUUCUCUCUCUCUCCAUCUUAUUCUUUUCUUUGCCCCCACAUUUACAGAAACCUUUUGCACACUCAUCCCUCUAUUCCUUCUUUAUCCCAGAUUCCUCCCCCCUUCUUUCUCUCUCUCUCUCUGUUAUCCUUUUUUCAUAUCUCAGACCCGGUUUUCAAGAAGACGUAUAUAUCCAAUCCAACGUUAUAGCUCUUUAGAUAAGCAACAAACCCAUUUUCUUCAAAACACCACCAUUGAUACUCCCACUUCAGCUCUAAUUUUUCGAGUCAAGAAUUUUCCCCCAUGUUCAAAGAGAAUGAAUCUUUAUUAUUAUCAUCAACAAUCAUUUUCCGUUGUUGUAGAUUGUAGAUUUUUACUGCCAAUUUAGCAAUCAAUCCAUUAAACAAUGGACAAACACCGUAGUAGAUGGACUUAUUCAUUCACCAAGCUUAUUUUCUGGACCACACUUUUUGCAGGUACCAUUCUUUUCGUAUGUUUCCACUCUCCUCCUUCUGAUUCCCCAUCUAUCCACCCCAAGAUGAAAUGGGGCAGCCCACAAUGGGAAAAACGUGUCAAAUCCUCUGCCCGUUCUCGUUCCGGUCAUUUUACCGUCCUUGUCACCGGUGCUGCCGGUUUCGUCGGGUCCCACGUUUCCGCCGCCCUCAAACGGCGUGGCGACGGCGUCGUCGGCCUGGACAAUUUCAACAGCUAUUACGAUCCCUCAUUGAAAAGAGCUCGUCAGAAAUUGUUAGAACGUAAUGGGAUUUUUGUUAUUGAAGGUGAUAUUAAUGACAGGCAUUUACUCGAGAAGCUUUUUGACGUUGUUGCUUUUACUCACGUAAUGCACUUAGCUGCACAAGCUGGCGUUCGUUACGCUAUGAAGAAUCCUGGUUCUUAUAUCCAUAGUAAUAUUGCAGGUCUCGUUAGCGUUUUCGAGGCCUGUAAAUCAGCUAAUCCACAGCCUGCAAUUGUUUGGGCAUCGUCCAGUUCUGUUUAUGGACUUAACUCUAAAGUACCCUUUUCAGAAAAAGAUCGAACGGAUCAACCAGCGAGUCUUUACGCCGCGACAAAGAAAGCUGGUGAAGAGAUUGCUCAUACUUAUAACCAUAUCUAUGGUCUUUCAAUUACAGGGUUGAGAUUCUUCACUGUUUAUGGACCUUGGGGUCGGCCUGAUAUGGCGUAUUUCUUUUUCACAAAGGAUAUAUUAAAGGGAAAGAGUAUUAAUGUGUUUGAAGGUUCUAAUAAUAAAAGUGUAGCAAGGGAUUUUACUUACAUUGAUGAUAUAGUGAAAGGGUGUUUAGGGGCACUGGAUACAGCUGAGAAGAGUACAGGAAGUGGUGGGAAGAAGAAGGGAAAUGCGCAAUUGAGAGUGUUCAAUUUGGGGAAUACUUCACCUGUGCCAGUUACUAAGCUGGUUAGUAUAUUGGAGAAGUUGCUUAAGGUAAAGGCUAAAAAGAAUGUUUUGCCACUGCCAAGAAAUGGGGAUGUGAUGUUUACUCAUGCUAAUAUUAGCUAUGCUCACAAGGAAUUUGGAUAUAAGCCUACUACAGAUUUGCAGAUGGGGUUACAGAAGUUCGUUAAUUGGUAUCUUGAUUACUAUUCAGUUAGUGAGAAGAAAAAGAGUUUUUGGUGACCUUAUUAAUGAAGCUUUUAGCUACUGAUCAAAUAGAAAGUAGGAGGGGCUAUGAGCUUGGCAUAAGAAAAUAUCCAAAACUUGUAUAGGUAUUUUAAUUUUUGGUGGACCGGAAUAUUUUUUUUAACCUUGAACAACUGUAUUAAUGACUUCCAGCUGGGGAGAUUCCAUUAUGCUAGUCAUCUCACAGUCUUAAUGAACUGUGCUUCCUUCUUUCUGUCCCUCAUCAAAAUGUGCUCAUGCCUUGUAUUGCUCUUAUGAUGAUUAUGUUAAUACUAUUUAGGACUGCAUUUGCAUGCAAGUCAAUCUGGAGGCACGUGUAGAUUCAUGAUUUGUUUUGUGUAAAUUAUACUGCACUCUUUUCUCUGUCUUUGUGUUCGUUUUUUUGGGGUUUGGGGGGGGGGGGGGGGAGGGAAUCAGUUCUUACUCUUAGUAACGUAUAGGAGGUGAUUAAAUCCAAUUACAAUGCGACUUACCCAUUAUCUCAUGAACUUUGAGUUGUUCCAUGUUGAUACAUCACGUAUUUCGGGCCCUUCUUUAUUGGACGAAGAACGUAAGAAGUCAACCAGCAAUUUAAUUCUAUCUUAAAACUCUGCGCAGCUAAAGGCCUAAAACCAAUUUAUGCCUCAAUAAUUCCACUGGUGCUAGUUCUCCGAAGGUGCAAAAGAUCUUCGGCUUACUCUACAAAAGUGAUCAAAAUUCAAAAGCCCAAAGUUAUCCUAAGAUUAUUUAACUUGCUGAACAAUCUCACUUGUUCAUUUUAAGGCAUAGUAAGGUAGGUUGUUUGGCAACAUGCACACAGACGAUGCAUUCACAAAAGGCAUGCAUCAUUCACGAUGUGGAUCCCAAAUAGUAAACAUUUCUGAUUCUAUUUUGUUGAUAGAUGAUAAUUGCUUACUUGUGGCGAGAAAGUUUGCAGUUUUGAGUCUAAAGCUAUUAUCCAAUUGGCUUUUGAAUCUUGUGCCCAUGCCCAAGAAAGAUAGCUGGGUAAGGAUUGGAAUUCAGACUAUUUCUGGAAAGUGAGUCGAUCAAAACUCAGCUGAUGUCUGUUGUUUAAUUUUUCCAGCACAUUGACCAUUGACUACGGAGGAUUUGCAGCAAAAUUUUGUCAAAGCAACAUGAAGAUGGGUCAUUUUGUAGGACCGUAUACACAGACACCACCAGAAUCCUAAUUGUGCUCAUGUUGUGUGACUUGUGACGGAGAAGUAUUAAUUCUACCAGAAAGGACAUCCCCAAAAAGUAAAUUGUUUUGUGAUCAUAAUACAAAAGUGUCGAAUAGCUGUACUAACUUAUUAUGAAUCUGGCAAAUAUUAAAAAUAGACCGGGGUCAUACUGUCAAAGAGCUUAUGAGUUUGCAUUUAUUUCAUAUAAAAAAUAAAAUAGCAUUUACUCAAAGUAAUUAUGUACUUGAGAAUUCUCAUCUUAGUAAGCUCUUCAACGCACUCGCAUGUGUAAAUUAGAGCAGCUACAUGAGGAAUGUGGUUGUCACUGAUCAUACUUCUUAAAGGUCCAUGUAUUUUAUUGAUGAGGAAUACUUUUCAAAAUGUGCAAAUUUUUUGAAGCUCAAACACGAAACAACCGGAAGAAACUUGAGAGAAUCUUGAGUGUAACAAUGUCAGGCACUUGAAGAGGGAGAGCUAGAAGGCCAGAAAAUUGUGAUUUCCACUUACACUGCUUAUUUAGGCGAGAUACUGAGUAACUAGAUUGAAGUGUACACACUAUCCCUGGAAGUUUUAAGGUCAUAACCAUAACUCAGGUAAAAAAUCGAUAAGGGCACAAGACAGGGAAAAAAACCAAGAAACGCUGCCUUCAACUUAAGCUAUGUGGUCUUGGCUCGCACUACUCAUAGGUCACUAGUUCUGAUAUGCAAUAACUAUAAUUCCUGAAUAUCAUGUAAUAUCUUUGGGCAAAAGACCUAAAAAUUAAAAUCAACAUUUCCGCAAGAACAUCUGAAAUGUGAUAAGCAGGACCAGGUUGACACACUUUAAUAUACAUCAAAAGUUCGUUGUGAGAUAUCAUGAUACCCAAGAAGAUAAUCUGAUUCAGUAUGGUGACGCCUUAGCGAUGACCAUUUUUGCUGUCGCUGUCCAUUUCCUCCGCAUCUUCAAACCUUUGAUCAUUAAUUUGAAGCUGCAGUAAGAAAAGUAAAUGUCUCAAUUUUCCAGCAACAAAUAGCCAACAUAUGCACUAGAAGUUCAUGUGAAAUAACUAAAGCAGAAAGCAUGAAGAUGCUCUAUUUUCAUAUCUCAACCUACUCUUAUAGACCUGAAACCACUCCCCGCCCCAAAAAAUAACAAUAAUAAUAAACAAACUUAGACGACGAGGUGUAUUAUAGAAGGGCACAGCAUAUGCCAGAGCUAUAGUGAAAUUGCACAUGCAAUUAUUGAUAAUAGUUUAGCUAGCAUCCAUCUAAAAACAUGAGUUACUUGAGACAAUCAGCCAAGAGGAGCUCUAAAAUUCUUGACAGUGAUUGCCAAAUAUAUAGUGAGACCCUCUGCCUGUUACUCUAGAAACUAAGUAUUUAAUUUGUUCAUCUCCCAUGCCACCCAAACCCAACACCUACCAACAAGCCAAACAAAAGGCAAAUGACAAUAGAAUAAUCACAGUUCUUAAGUUCAAGUCUCAAACCAAAUCUACAACAGGCAUACCUGCAGCACAUUAUGAGCUAAGUCGUGAUCUCCAUUUGAAUGACCAAUAGAAUGUGUCAGAUUCUGAGAAAACGUCCAUUCAGAUUCUUCCUCUUCAAAAGUAAGACCAAUAACAGUAAAAGUUAGUUGGCAAAACAAAAAUUGUUUUCUUAAAACAAACCAGCGCCUAUCAAUUCCAUACCAGCUUCCUGAUUUUCCAGCUGAUCUGCACUGAAUAUCCAAUUAUGCUCUUCUUCCUCCCCUAGGAAAAGCGAUACCAGGGUUUAGUCAAGUAGAAACAUGACUGGGCAGAAGAAAAUGAGAAAAAAGACGUUUGUUUGGAGUAUGUCCAAAGAAAUAAAUAACCACCUUCAAUUGGUUCAGGAUUAAGCUCAGCACAUUCACAAAAGAUCUGGAAGAGAGUAUCCACUGCCAAAAUAGAACAUACAAAUAUAUCUUUAGGAGCUGAAGUAGCAGAAGGCAUUUAUCCUAGAUGAAAGAUUUCAAGGAAAACCCAAGUAAAAAGAAUGGGCAAGAAUGAAGUACAUUGAUCAAGAUCCGAUGGCACAAGUCUCAACUCAGUUAUCCUUGAUAAAUCUAAUGACUCAUCACCCUCAUCAGUGGAGCCUUCUGAUUCAUCAUCCUCCAAUCCAUUGUCAAUCUUCAAGAACAAAGCAAAAUAUAUCCAUCAUUUUCAUAACAGAGAAAGCAAUCACAUUUGCAAAAUGGAACAAAUGUUUAACCCACACCCACACUCAGUUCCCCUUCAGAAAAGAAAAUAAAUCAAAUGAUCAAACAAAACUUUAAACGAGCCUGAAAGAAAGUAAUUGUGUUACCAAAGACACACUAAUAAUGAAAACAAAAGACAUGCCUUAACAGAAUGGACACAUGCAUAACAAUCAUGGAACCGCCUCAUCAAGGUAAAAUAUGCAUAACAAUCAUGCAUCCAAUCCCAAAUGAUCUUCCAGCUUCACUGAACAGAUAGCAUAUGCUAGCCUAUCCUAAUUUUUUUUCUGGAUCCUAUUUUGUCAAAUAAAAGAAAUUGCAUUUUUACCCGAGCAGAGGAUGUCCAACUAUAUACUCACCGUGUGAGAUACUGAGAUAGCUUACUGACAAAUGAAAAAAGAAAAAAGAAAACAGCAGGAUGAUACUCCGUGCUCAAGUAAACAGGAAAACUACAGAUGCAUAAAAUCAAACCGAGAAACUAAACUUAAAUAGAAUGCCAAGUUACCCUAUUGAAUGUAGUGGAGUUGUGUACUUUUCCACACUCCUCAAUAGGACUAAUGGAGAGGACAACUGAACUAAUUAGUUUUAACCAACUGAACCAAUUAGUUUUAACCAACUGAACCAAUUAGGGGAGGAAUGCUUGAAAUCUAAGUAUCCUAUUUAUUCAAUUAUUCUGUUAAAAAGGAUGGUAUGAUUGCUGAUUUUCACAGAGACAGGAUGGCAUGUGGAGCUCAGAAGAAACUUGAACGACUGGGAGGUAGAUGAUUAUUAUCUUUUACUUCAACAGCUUGACUCAGUCUCAAUUAGUCAUAGUAAGGUGGAUGCACUGAUCUGGGCAGAUGGUAAGUAUAAAAAGUUUCCAGUCAAAAGUUGUUACUAUAAUAUGCAGAUUAAGAAGUCAAGUCACAGGGAUGACAAUUGGCCUUGGAAGAUGAUUUGGAAGAAAAAAGAUCCAGUCAAGGUGGCAUGCUUUGGAUGUAUAGCAGCUUGCAAAACAUGUUUGACACAAGAUAAUUUGCAAAAAAAAGGGUUUUAAUCUAAGUAAUAGAUGCUAUCUGUGUGAAGGAGAUCAAGAAUCAGUGAAUCAUAUUCUUCUCCAUUGUAGAAUUGCUAAACAAUGCUGGGACUUGUUCUUAAACAUUUUUGGUAUCUCUUGGGUAAUGCCACAGACCGUUAGGAGUUUGUUGGAAGAGUGGCAAAAUCAAAGAGUACCUAGAAGACUGAAGCAAAUAUGGAGAACCAAACCAUUGUGCAAUGUGCAUAUUCUGGACUUUAUGGCUGGAAAGGAACCGGGCUUGUUUUGAAGGACACAAGGAUCACAUUUUCAGAAUUAGAAACAAAUGUAUUACCUGUUUUAUUGGUGUAAAAGCAGUGUACCAGUGGAUCAACAGUUUAUAGAUUUUCUGGAUUUACUAGGACUGUAGGAGAUGGUUGUUUCUGGGGUGGUCUUUGUAACAUUUUGUACCAUCUUGCUACCUUAUUAAUAAAACUUUUACCUUAUCCAUAAAAACAAAAUCAAAACCACAAAAUAGUUAUCUUUACAAGCUUUCCCCAAAUAAAAUACAAAACAAGAACCUAAAGAUUUUAGUAGUUGUUACCAAGUUACCAAAUACAAAAAACAGAAAUUACUUUUUCCAUAAAUCUAAAACAAUUGCGACUGCAGCUUUUCAGAUACCUGGUUUCCUUUCCCAAUUCAGAGAGUUCUUAGUUGUUUAUUCAAAUGCCAACUCAAAAAACAACAGGAUGAGGGUAUUCCGCCUAAAUAGUAGACACGGGUAACAAAUAAGGACUAGAUAUCCAGGACGUAAUUUGUCAAAUGCUAACACAAGGUACUUAUUAGGUAGAAUAUAACUAUUCAAUCUGAUGGAAUGUUUUUUCUCUACCAAUCUAAGCCAUUUCAUGAAUAAAAUGAGACCUAUUAAUAUAGUUCCCCCCCACCCACCCACCCCAAAUUCUUUUUUAAUUCUCAUUCUAACUUAGUAGUCAAUAUUGAUAUCAUUAUGCUCCCUGCAUUCCCAAUAUCUCACGAAGUUAAACAAUCCCUCUGUUAUACUAUGGAAUAUUUGUGACCAGAGAACUACGAACUUCCUCUUGUCAAGUGGUGUUAAGCGAACUUACUUAAUUCUUCUAAUUGUCAUUUGCAUUAUUCUAGCUGAAAAUUUUGAGCGAAGCAGCAUGGGAUGAUACCUCUUGAUGCAAGAUAUAUCUGCCUCUGAUAGCAAGGGUGAGAACCUUUUCAUGUCAGAUAUUUAAAAGGGAAAUAAUCAUAUGGAUAGACGCUUAAAUUAUCACUUCAGUAUAUUCCUAACCCUUUUUUAUUACUAUCAGUUCCAUUUCACGACCAGCAGUUCUUAAUAUUACAUCAGAAAUUAAUCCAAAUAUAGGCAGGUCAAUUUGCUUCUACAAAAUUUGGGACAUUCCAAUUUCACAAAGAACAGAAAUUAAUCUUCAUUUUUUUGGCUCUCUUGCUAAUAUAGAGUGAAACGUAAAACCUCAACUAACAGAAAUAAUAUACUCCGUAUUUUCAUUUCGAAAGGAGAUUCUACCUGAGCGUAUAAACAAGGAUCCUGAUACGCCUCGGGGUCCCUAGACACAGCAUGAAGUGAAACCGACAAGAAAUCAACUGCAUAACCUUUUCUCCUAUCUGUAUCGCUUAGCCAAACCACUUGCCUGGUAAAUAUUUUACGAAUUACAACCAAAACUCAACGACUGAUUCGAUUCGAAAAGGCAUAAAUACAGAAACAAACAAAAGAUAAAUCGAAGGUCGAGAAGUUACUUAGUGGUGAUGUAGAGAGUGCCAGAAGACUCAGGCUGGCGGCUGCCGAGGACGAUGGCGGUUCCAGGCUGCACGUGCAUGAGUUCCUCGCCGUUGUCGGCGUCGAGGACCGGCUGCCCGGCGCCGUCACCGGUUCUUUCAACGAAGAACCUCAAGCCUGACAUAGUUUCCGGUUAAUUGAUGUUUACUUAGCUCCGGCAGAAAAGGAGUUGGAGACUGGUAAAGGCUCUGCUAGACUGCUGCUCUAGGGUUUUGGUUGGGCGCCAAAAUUAUUUUCACAACAUUUUGCACUGCUAUAAGAAGGUUCUGGACUGUUCAUUCCCAGUGGGUCUACGUGGCCUCUUGACUAAGGUCAAAAUCAAUUUUGGGAGCAGUAUUUAAUUUAGAGUAACACCAAUAUUCAGUAGGCGUUUGAACGUAACAAAAAUAUGAGAUUUAAAAAAAAAAGUAAGUUUUGAAGUUAAAUUGAAAAAAUAUAUUUGAAAAUUAACAUUGUAUUUGGAUAUUCGUUUUAUUGAAAAAUACUAUAGUUUUAUAAGAGAAAAAUAUUAUUUACUUGAAAAAAAUGUUGGGUCAACAAAAAGGGAAAGACUUUUUCGAUCCACAAAAGAAAUAUUAUUUGGAAAACAACUUGUUCUCCUUAAUGUUUUAAGUUAUUGCGUACGAGUAAAACCGGGGCAGAGUUUUCCCCAAUUACUGGUGAGGAAACAAAAGGGAAGCAUGGCUCGACACGACUACAAGCGAGGUCAAAGGACCCCUCGUAUCGGAACCAAGGAGGAGUGAACGAUGCAUCUGGGAUCGGGCACGAUGACAUAACGGACUUAGACCAAGUAAGGUUCCUGGACCAUGAGAAAUGCGGAGAACGGUUAUGCAUGACGAAUAUGGAACUGUAAUAUUCGCCCUCAAUUGGAUAUUACGGCGCGAAUCCCGUCCAAUAUCAACUGCGGAUCGAUAUUUACCAAAAAAGGAGAUUUUUACCUUAUUUAGACUUGUACCAGGACUGAACUACUAUAUAAAGGAGAAGGUUUCUUUUAUUUAAGACACGGUGACACGCAAUCAAAAGAAUAAAGGUUUUUUUUGUUUUCUAGCUACUGUUGAAAGUGUUCUUAAUUUGAUCUCUUCUCUAUUUGCGAUCGAACUUGUAUUGAGGGUCCGAUCGAUAACAAAUCCUACUAUUCAACUUACGAUCAGGCUUGUUCAUCGCAUUGCGAUUGGUUUGAUCAUUUAUUUUAUCAUUAACUUAAUUACCUAUUGUUCUUAACCAUUCGUACUGAAUUAAAUCGCAUAUCCUUUAAAUCGCAUACAAAUUUAAUUGUUACUCAUUUUUUAUGCAAACAGUUUGACACUCACUGUAGGGCUAAGGAUAAUAGUGGUGAUUUGAUAUGAAUCUAGAUAACACACCCUAUUUUACGCUUGUUCUUUGAAGUUUUGACUUCAGGUUAGCCCAAGGAUGUCAAAUUCUCAGUCAGCUCACUUGAACGUUGAUGCUGAGUCAGGCCAUCAUGGUGAGAAUAAUAACGUGAUGCCUAGUAAUGAUGUGUUCCCUAUCGAUCCCAAUAGUGUCCCAGCCACCGACCCGGUCGAUGCUAACUCACAAACGACCAUCAAUAUCAAUCUACCAACUGAUCCUGAAAACAACGUUCAAAGGGGACGCCAGCCAGCGGCUCGAGAGGCGCCCGUAAGCGAAGGUGAUAAGGUAAUCAUGCGGUUGAAUUUCGAAAUGUUGCAGGCUUAGCAAGCGGCGAUAGUACAGUUACAAAACCAAAGCCACGCCCCUAACUGGGUCGAGCCCGAGCAGUUACGGGAAAAUAAUCGGAGGGAUGAACAUGUUGUCCUAGAACCGAGCAAAUUUAGGCUCGGGAAACCUUUCGAAGUGUUGAAGAUACUCAAAAACGGGUGGACUGGCGAGAAAACGAUUGAGGCCAAUGACAAAAAGGUGGAAACAUAAAACUCCAGGGUCGAUCAGUCCCUGGAGCGCCUCCGAUAGUGAAGGGAUCGGACUCCAAAAAGUUUAUUCAGAAGCUUUUACCUCCGAGCGCGGCACCAAAGCCGAUCUUGAAGAGGUUUCGGAUGCCCGACAUCCCCAAGUAUAAUGGGACCACGGAUCCAAAUGAGCUUGUAACCUCCUAUACAUACGCAAUCAAAGGGAAUGUUUUGGAAGACGACGAAAUUAGGUCGGUAUUGCUGAAAUAAUUUGGGGAAACCCUGUCCAAGGGAGCAAUGAUAUGGUAUCACAACUUGCCUCCAGAUUCUAUCGACUCGUUUGCUAUGCUUGCAGAUGCUUUCAUAAAGGUUCAUGAUGGUUCCAUCAAGAUCGAGACCAGGAAGUCAGACCUUUUCAGGUCAAGCAGAGGAAUAACGAGAUGCUUAAGGAGUUCGUGUCGAGGUUCCAGAUGGAAUGGAUGGAUCUGCCACCGGUUGCAGAUGAUUGGGCCGUUCAGGCAUUUACUCAAGGGCUCAACCCCCGAAGUUCCACGACCUCUCAACAGCUAAAGCAAAACUUGGUAGAGUACCAGCGGUCACCUGGGCCGAUGUCCACAAUAUAUAUUAAUCUAAGAUCAGGGUCGAAGACGACCAACUCGGAGCCCCUUCUGGAUAUAUUUACCCUAUUAGAACUGAUGACAAGUCUAAGAGAAACAUUAAUCAAGAGUCGAGGUCGGCUCGAGAUCGAGAUCGAUAUCAGCCAUACAACAGGGAUCGAAGGGGAAACAGAUCAGGGCACCAUCCGACAAGGAAUGAGAAGAAAAAUGAUCGAGGACCGUGUGAUCGGGUCCUGAUAAGCAAGAGCGGGUAUGACAGGUCGUUCGGGAGCAGGGAGGCUCCAAGACUAUCGAAAUAUAAUUUCAACAUGGACGCUGCAAGCAUAGUGUCAGUCAUAAGGGGCAUCAAAGAGACUAAGUAGCCCCGACCAUUGCAGUCUGAUCCUUCCUAGAGAGAUCCUAAUUUGAUGUGUAAGUAGCAGGGUACUCACGAUCAUAAGACUGAAGAUUGUCGACAGUUAAGAGAAGAAGUUGCUCGACUGUUCACCAAUGGGCACCUUCGAGAAUUCCUAAGCAAGCGAGCCAAAAACCACUUCAGAAACACGGACGCCAACAAAUAGGUCGAAUAAGAGGAGCCUCAACACGUAAUUAGCAUGAUCAUUGUGGUAGUUGAUGUCUCUCAAGGGCCGAUGAUCAAACAUACCAAAGUUUCUAUUACAAGAGAGAAACGCACCCGAGAUUACAUCUCGGAAGGAGCUAUCUCGUUCAGCAACGAACACACCGAGGGCAUCGUACAACCUCACAACGAUGCACUGGUAAUUUUGUAGUUAUCAAUAAAUCUCGGGUUAAACAUGUUUUGAUUGAUCCAGGUAGCUCGGCCAAAAUCAUCAGAUCGAGAGUCGUAGAGCAACUAGGUUACAGGAUCAAAUCAUACUGGCAGUCAAGUAUUGAAUGGAUUCAACAUGGAGUGCGAGACCACGAAAAGUGAGAUAACUUCACCAGUAAACACUGCCGGGAGCACCCAAGAAACGAAGUUCUACGUGAUUGAAGGGGAAAUAAGGUACAACGCCUUGUUCGGAAGGGCUAAAUAUAGUUGUUUAUAGCCAUUGCGAAUGGCUAAAUUUGCAAACAAGGCGUCUCCCAAGGGCUCUAUUUCAAAAAUAAAAAUAAAAAAUUAAAUAACAAGCGGGACAGACGGGAUGGGACGGGAUAAACGGGCCAAAAUGGGCAGUCCUUCCCAUCCCGUGUAGUGUUUAAUAUGGGCAUAUCCUUUUUAGAAUUAAAUGGGCCGGGAUGGGAAAGGAUAUGGACCGGGACGGGGAUGGAUCGACCCGUUCCAUUGGACAGCCAUAGUUGUACCUCUAAAUCCUUCAACUGAAACUGUCGCCCAAGAGUUAGCGACCUCACUAGAUACCAUGUAUGAAAGCUGGUGAAGGCCACCAAGUUGACAAAACGGUCCUCCUCACCUCUUUCUUCUUUGAUCUUUCAAGACUGAUAGUUGUAGCAUCUCCCUCUCUGCCAUCAUCGGGGAUAUCCUGAAUUGGUGUAUCUUUUGCCUUGUGGACAAGUGUUUUUGAUGGCUCAGAAUCCUAACUAGCACUUUCCGAUCCCUCGAAAAUGCUAUUAUAUGAGGUGCGGCCAACUGUACGGUUGGCUGCUCCUGAAUAGAGGCUGAAUUUCCCUCUGAUGCUUCCCUAGACGGGACAUAUGAACUCGUCUCGGAGAGGUCUGCACCUCUCCCUCUCCCGGCUAUUGUCUUCUUUUAAUUUCCUUUUGUUGGCCAAGAGGUAAGGCCCUCUUGUCUCAUCCCCGAGAAGGUUCACCCCUUCCUUUAGAAGUACCGCCUCGUCCCCUAGAUCGAACCAUUGUUGUAGCAAGCAAAGGAGAUUGUUAGUUAUAAUUCAAUGUUCAAACAUACACAAGAGAUAUGUAUGUAAGAUAUAAACAAGAAGGCAUAGUAAAGGUUCACAUUCAAAGCAUGCUUGCAGGAACAAGAUCUACAGUCCGCACAAUUUCCUUGCGGCCGCAGAUGAGGCCUUGCGGUCCACACAAUUUCACUUGCGGUUGCACCUCUGAAACCCAAGAAAUGUCAACUCUCUUAUGACAGAGAAUUGGCUGAUGUGCGGCUGCAAUAUGAUAUUUGUAGUCCGCACAAUUAACUUUGCGGCCGCACAUUGGAGUCCCUAGGUGGGGACUCUCUGAUGACAGGAAAAGUAGUGUUUUGCGGCCGCAAUACGAAUUCUGCGGUCCACACAUUUUUACUUAUUGCGCAGAUCCCUUCUUUCACUAUGCUGCCCUACAUUCCAUAUUUGCGGACCGCACAAAUUCAAGUGCGGGUGAUGAAUUCAAAAAUGGCGUACAGUUCAAUUAUUUCUAUCUAGGUUUUGCAAUUUUGUGCAUAAUUUGACAUGGCAACAACAUAGAUAGAUGAAAAUAUGUUUACCCAGUCCCCAUAGAGCAUGAAUUAGUUAACCUAUUACAGAUUUACCCCUACAUAGAUAAAUAGUUGAAUUCUAAUGACAAUUGGCCUAAAAACAACUAAAAAUCUACAAAUUAAAAGAAAAAGAUUAACAAGAAAUUGAAACAUACCAGAUGAAUGAGUGUAAUGAGUGACUGAUCAAAGAUGUUGUGUGUGUGGACAGAUAAAAUCACCAAGAAUUUUCAAUAGAGUGUUAUUUUUGAGCUUAGAGAGUGAAAACUCGUAACCCUUGCCCCUACUAUUCUAUUUAUACUUAUGGUCUACUAAGGGGAAGAAGGUUGAGUGCGGCCGCACAUUUCAGACAUAAUGCCAACUUACUCUUACAUUAAUCAUAUUAACUAGACAAUUUGUAUUAAUAAGAUCGAACAUUACUAAUAAUCACAAUACCUGACACAUCAUCCGGUGUAGCCUCUGGGUCCUGGCGACCUGCCAAAGCAUAUAUGCGGUUCUGACUACCGCCGGAGCUAGAUGCUCCACCCCUACCUCUACCUCUACCAGUUGAUGCCCGAGGGCCUCGCUCUUGAGGGCGUACUGAAGAGGAGGAGACUGUUAUAGAUCUGGUGGGCUGAACUAUCCUGCUUCUACCAUUUAUAGGACAAUCCCUCAUGUAAUAACUAGGGUCUCCACAGGUAAAGCAUACAUUAGACCCCUGACGAUAUUAUCCGGAAUAAGCCCUAUCGCAUUGACUGCACCACGGAGGGGGCGCCCUCAUUUGCACUGAAUCCCUCUGAUUUUGAAAACCCGAAAUUCUCGAGCCCUGACCUGACUCAGAAUAGACAGAUCUCUCAUAAUACGGCUUUUGCAACUGUCGGACACUUUCAACAGGGUAUGGUGACAUAGGAUCGCCCGGAAAAUCCUCAGGUUGCCUAGCAGGUCUAGCCUUCUUACGUUGACCCCCAUCAUGAUUCUCGUAUUGUUGUCGUUUUCGAUCCUCUAAAUUUUGAGCAUAAGCCUAGAUGCGGGAAAUAUUCAUAGCAUCGAGCAGAGCAACCGUGAAGCAUUCAUUAAUCAGGUGCAACCCAAGUCCUACCACAAACUGAUGCACUCGAUCACUCAUUUCAGCCACAAUCGAGGGGGCAUACCUCACCAAGGAAUCAAACUGGAGGCUAUACUCCCUCACACUCAUAUUCCCUUGUUUAAGAGCCAAGAACCUGUCUACCCUUGCCCGACGAAUCUCUGCCGGCAAGUAAUGAUGCAAGAAAGCCCCUGAGAACUCUUCCAAUACUGCUGGAGAUGCGUUUGUCCCUCAAGACGAUUCCCAAGUUUCAUACCACUAAACCGCAACAUCCCGCAAUCGGUAUGAGGCCAACUCUACUAACUUAGUGUUUGAUGCAUGCAUUACCCUCAAAGUCCUCUGCAUCCUAUCAAUAAAGUUUUGCGGGUCCUCAUCCUUGUUGGAUCCGGUAAACACUAGAGGGUCCAGGUUGAUUAAGUCUCGAACUCUCGCGCUAAUAACCCUGUUAACAUGAUCAACACUUGUACCUACCUGGCACUGAGCCUGAGCGGCUACCAAUCUAGUCAACAACUGUACUGCACUCCACAUAUCCAUAUCCUCAUCCUGAACAAUAAGUGGAGGUACUGGGUUCCUCCUCAUCUCUCGGGUGCGGACAAAAUUAGAGAACUAUGCGAGGCUGUCGUAUUUCCCCUCAGGGCCUCACUCUGGGCCUCGCUAGACAUUGGUACUCUACUCAUGCCCUCAUCUUCCACUACUUUACCCUUCUGACCUGUUAACAUGAUCAACACUUGUACCUACCUGGCACUGAGCCUGAGCGGCUACCAAUCUAGUCAACAACUGUACUGCACUCCACAUAUCCAUAUCCUCAUCCUGAACAAUAAGUGGAGGUACUGGGUUCCUCCUCAUCUCUCGGGUGCGGACAAAAUUAGAGAACUAUGCGAGGCUAUCGUAUUUCCCCUCGGGGCCUCACUCUAGGCCUCGCUAGACAUUGGUACUCUACUCAUGCCCUCAUCUUCCACUACUUUACCCUUCUGACUAGCCAUAGCGUUCCUGGUCAUAGGCAUCGUUGCAUAUAUAAAACAAGUCAAAGGUUAAGGACUUUAUUCCCUAUGACUCUGCUCUAUUGCACGAUUUAAUAUCAAGAAGGAAGGGUAACCGGUCCCUAAAUGCCCUGUAGUAUCUCGCUUAUACAACGUGGCGCACAACACAUUUAUAAACAAGAUUCUACUAGACACGGCUUGAUGAAAACCCUAGGAUAGAACCGCUCUGAUACCACUUUGUCACGACCCAAAUAAGAGGGCCACGACGGGCACCCGGUGCCUACUUAACCGAACGCCACCUACCUUAUUUUUUUUUCUAUAAGACUCACCAUGAUAGGCCACAGUCAUAUAUAAUUAAUAAUAUUAAACUUAACUCACAUAUCUAAUUCAAAAAUAUUUAUAUAGAAACAUAGGGCCCGACAAGGACGCUGACAUGUCGUACCUAAAGCUAUACACAGGACACUGUUUGCCAAACCUCUAAGAAAACAUGAUCAUAAUAUAAGUCGGGACAGUGUCCCCGACAUCUUCAUAAAACAAAGUAACAUAUAUAGAAUGUGACUUGGAAGUACUCCAGGAAGAUGUGGAGCUCACUAACCAAGAGUUGAUAUCUGGAGACAGCCUACAGUGGGUGGUCCUCACCUCGCCUAUCUACACCUGCGUGGCAUAAAAUACAGUGCCCCAGGAAAAGGCACGUCAGUACGAAUAAUGUACCGAGUAUGUAAGACAGAAAUGAAAUGUAAUAAUAAUAAGAUACUAUCUCGGGGAGAGAUAAGAGUCAACUUAUAACUUUUGACUUGCCGCUGAGGGCCGUAACAUGUAGAAUAACACCCAUUCAUAUAUAUAAAUAAAACUACGAUAUAGUACUUCUGAUUACAUCAUUCUCAUGGCGUUAACUACCUAACUGAUCAGUGGUAACUGCCCGACCGGCCUUCGCACGGUGGUAAAUAUAUGACUGCCCAACCGGUGGUAAAUAAUGAUACAUAACUGCCCAACCGGUGGUAACUGCCCGACCAGCCGUAACACGAUGGUAAAUGCAUGACUGCCCGACCGACCGUAGCACGGUGGUAAAUAAAUAUGCAUGACUGCCCAACCGACCAUAGCACGAUGGUAAAUGAAUAUGCAUGAAUUACUAUAUUAUGAACAUUAACAUCUUUAUCAAAUACCUCAAUAGGGAACUAGAUACAUAUUUAGACAUGCUUGAAUAUCACUUAAUCGGAAUGAAUAAUAUAGACAUCCUUAACUGCUAAGAGUAGAACCACUUUGCAGCCUCUCUCAGGCUGGAAAGAAAGGGAAGUAAUGACUUUUAGUAGAACAAAACAACAUAUAGAGAAGUAUUUGUACCUCCCUUUUAAGAAAAUAUCAACAAGUCUCUCUCUAACUAUCAUUCUUUAAAUCAGAUAACAUGCAAAACUCGAGGUCGUAAUUUAAUAAGGAGCUAGUUGAAAAUGAAUUGUUGCAUGCUUCUAUAAGCAACUUUGCUUCCAAAUUCACCCAAAGGACAAAACUGAGAUGUGCAUGCAGUGUCAUGUCAAAUUAUUUUCCUAAACACUGAAACUUAAGGCGCUUGACCCAUUAAAACAUUGCCUCAACUUAAUAUAGGCGCAACAACUACAAGUUGCUAAAUGUCUAAAGCCCAAGUUGAAGAAACAGUUGAAAUAUUUAAGUGAGCAAGUCGCCAGAAAGAAAAAUAGGAAAUUAUAAGGUCACCAUUUAAAAAUACUAAAAGUAACCAAAGCAAUUACAUCUCAUUCAGCACCUUUCUUCAAUAGACACAAAAGACAUGUUGUUGCUUUCUUUUCUUUCCAUUUGAUACCAAAGCAAGGUUGGCGAAUAAAAAUAUUUCAUGGACUCAGUACCUAAUAUCAAUUAACCAUUAGGGUAUCAACUUUAACUUCUGCAUUCCAUAGAUGUGUAAGAAAUGUUAUAGACUUGUUCUCUUUGUAAACUGCAUAUUCUCCAGAAAGCACAAUCUUAUUUAUUUGUGUAUGUAUUUUUUUUUAACAACUAAUCCACCGGAUCGCCUGAGUAACUCUACCUUAAGGCGAAGCCAGGACUUCAAGCUUAUGGAAUAACAUUACAUUUACGUAUCGUUACUUGGAUCAUGCCAAAAGAAAGAAGGAUUAACCUUAAUAUACCUGGAGUAGCGAAAACUCCGUAUGAUAUUCUUGGAGAAGAUUACACCGUAUUCCUAUAGAACUGCAAAAUUUGGAUGGAAUUAAGCUUCUGUUCUUUGAAGUAUUUGAACUAGGAAAAUGAAAAUGUUUCUUGCUUUUUAUGAAUUAAGAACGUCUGUUCGCUCUUUUGUCCCAAUGGAAAGGGAUAAGACUUGUAAUAAGUCUUUACAUUAUUAAAUUCUAAUAAUACUUAGGUAGCCACCUAGGAUUAUAGACUACUUAGUCAUUUUUGUAGGUUUAUGGCUCCAUGUCAGGUUUUUUUGGGAGGAAAAUUAAUCUUAUCUCAUAUUUUAGUAGUUAACUAGGUAAUGUCCCGUUACCCGGUAAUUAAUUAAUUACCCGUAUAAUUAAGAAUUAUCUUAAAUUAUUUAAAAUUUUACUUAUUUUUAAUAUACUUUAUACAUCAUACUACCGUGAUCAUAUAGUACCUUGCAUGGUACUAGUUCAUAAUUAUCGGGUAUUAUGCUCGACCCGUAUUUUAUCCCAAAUUGGCCACUUUCAACGAAAUUCGUUUUUUUUAAUUCGUGUACCCUUUAUCCUUCAUGACACUUAUUUAUCGCUUGUUAUAAAUAGCGUAUAUACUUUAACCUAAAGAUAAUCUCACCCCCCGAGUCUACGUCAAUUAACUGAAGACGAAACUUUUAACGUACGAAAAUGCGAGAUGUAACAUCCUUCCCCCCUUAGAAACAUUCGUCAUCGAAUGUUUAAACUUGCAAGAUGUACAUACAUAUGCAUCUAUUAUAAAUAUAUAUAUCUUCCCGGGCUAAACUCGAAUGAAAUAAAUAUCAGGCUGUCACGGGGUCAGGACGUCAUCCCUCCCUAAAAUUACUUCCUAAUACAUUUGUCACCUAUGAUUCUGUUAAUCUAUCUUCUAGGCGCUGACACUUAUUAGUUGUAAUCUUAAUAACCGGGUUCAUUCUUUGCUUUCAAGCUAGCUUUGGUUUCCCUUAAGUCUUCAGACGUAAUGCCAACUUACUCUUACAUUAAUCAUAUUAACUGGACAAUUUGCGUUAAUAAGAUCCAACAUUACCAAUAAUUACAAUACCUGACACAUCAUCCGGUGUAGCCUCUGGGUCAUGACGACCUGCCAAAGCAUAUAUGCGAUUCUGACUAUCGCCGGAGCUAGAUGCUCCACCCCUGCCUCUACCUCUAUUAGUUGAUGCCUGAGGGCCUCGCUCUUGAGGGCGUACUGAAAAGGAGGAGACUGUUAUAGAUCUGGUGGGCUGAACCAUCCCGCUUCUGCCAUUUAUAGGACAAUCCCUCAUGUAAUAACUAGGGUCUCCACAGGUAAAGCAUACAUUAGACCCUUGAUGACAUUAUCCGGAAUGAGCCCUAUCGCAUUGACUGCACCACAUAGGGGGCACCCUCAUUUGCGCUGAAUCCCUCUGAUUCUUAAAACCCGAAAUUCUCGAGCCCUAUCCUGACUCAGAAUAGAUAGAUCCCUCAUAAUACGGCUUUUGCAACUGUCGGACACUUUCAACAGGGUAUGCUAACAUAGGAUCGCCCGAAAAAUCCUCAGGUUGCCUAGCAGACCUAGCCUUCUUAUGCUGACCCCCAACACAAUUCUCGUAUUGCUGUCAUUUUUUAUCCUCUAAAUUCUGAGCAUAAGACUGGAUGCGGAAAAUAUCCAUACCAUCGAGCAGAGCGGCCGUGAAGCAUUCAUUAAUCAGGUGCGGCCCAAGUCCUACCACAAACCGAUGCACUCGGUCACUCAUUUUAGCUACAAUCGAGGGGGAAUACCCUGCCAAGGAAUCAAACUGGAGGCUAUACUCCCACACACUCAUAUUCCCUUGUUUAAGAGCCAAGAACCUGUCUACCCUUGCCUGACGAAUCUUUGUCGGCAAGUAAUGAUGCAAGAAAGCCCCUGAGAACUCUUCCCAUACCGCUGGAGAUGCAUUUAUCCCUCUAGAUGAUUCCCAAGUUUCAUACGACUGAACUGCAACAUCCUCCAAUCAGUAUGAGGCCAACUCUACUGACUCAAUGUCUAAUACAUGCAUUACCCUCAAAUUCCUCUGCAUCCUAUCAAUAAAGUUUUGCGGGUCCUCAUCCUUGUUGGAUCCGGUAAACACUAGAGGGUCCAGGUUGAUGAAGUCUCGAACUCUCACGCUAAUAACCCCGUUAACGUGACCAACACUUGUACCUACCUAGCGCUGAGCCUGAGCGGCUAUCAAUCUAGUCUACAACUGUACUGCACUCCGCAUAUCCAUAUCCUCAUCCUGAACAAUAGGUAGAGGUACUGGGUUCCUCCUCAUCUCCUCGGGUGCUGACAAAAUCUGAGAACUAUGCGAGGCUGUCGUAUUUCCCCUCGGGGCCUCACUGUGGCCCUUGCUAGACAUUGGUACUCUACUCAUGCUCUCAUCUUCCACUACUUUACCUUUCUGACUAGCCGUAGCAUUCCUGGUCAUAGGAAUCGCCAUAUAUAAAACAAGUCAAAAGUCAAGGACUUUAUUCCCUAUGACUCUGCUCUAUUACACGAUCUAAUAUCAAGAAGGAAGGGUAACCGGUCCCUAAAUGCCCUGUAGUAUCUUGCUUAUACAACGUGCUGCACGACACAUUUAUAAACAAGAUUCUACUAGACACAGCUUGCAGACAACCCUAGGACAGAACCGCUCGGAUACCACUUUGUCACGACCCAAAUCAGAGGGCCACGACGGGCACCCGGUGCCUACUCAACCGAGCGCCACAUACCUUAUUUUGUUUUUCUAUAAGACUCACCAUGAUAGGCCACAAUCAUAUAUAAUUAAUAAUAUAAAACUUAACUCACAUAUCUAAUUCAAAAAGAUUUAUAUAGAUACAUAUGGGCCGACAAGGACGUUGACAUGUCGUACCUAAAGCUAUACACAAGACGUUGUCUGCAAAACCUUUAAGAAAACAUGAUCAUGAUAUAUAAGUCGGGACAGGGUCCCCAACAUCUUCAUAAAAUAAAGUAACACAUAUAGAACAUGACUCGGCAAUACUCCGGAAAGAUGUGGAGCUCACCAACCAAGAGUUGAUAUCUGGAGGCAGCCUACAGUGGGUGGUCCUCAGCUCACCUAUCUACACCUGCGUGGCAUGAAACACAUCGCCCCAGGAAAAGGGACGUCAGUACAAAGAAUGUACCGAGUAUGUAAGGCAGAAAUGAAACGUAAUAAUAAUAAUAAGAUACUAUCUCGGGGAGAGAUAAGAGUCAACUUAUAACUUUUGACUUGCCGCUGAGGGCCGUAACAUGUAGAAUAAAACCCAUUUGUAUAUAUAAAUAAAACUACGAUAUAAUAGUUCUGAUUACAUCAUUCACGUGGCGUUAAUCGCCCAGCUGAUCAGUGGUAACUGCCCGACCGGCCUUCGCACGGUGGUAAACAUAUGACUGCCCAACCGGUGGUAAAUAAUGAUACAUAACUGCCCAACCGAUGGUAACUGACCGACCGGCCGUAGCAAGGUGGUAAAUGCAUGACUGCCCAACCGGCUGUAGUAUGGUGGUAAAUGAAUAUGCAUGACUGUCCAACCGGCCGUAGCACGAUGGUAAAUGAAUAUGCAUGAAUUACUAUAUUAUGAACAUUAACAUCUUUAUCAAAUACCUCAAUAGGGAACUAGAUACAUACUUAGGCAUGCUUGAAUAUCACUUAACCGAAAUGAAUAACAUAGACAUUCUUAACUGCUAAGAGUAGAACUACUUUGCAGCCUCUCUCAAGCUGGAUAGAAGGGAAGUAAUGACUUUUAGUUAAACAAAACAACAUAUAGAGAAAUAUUGGUACCUUCCUUUGAAGAAAAUAUCAACAAGUCUCUCUCCAGCUAUCAUUCUUUAAAUCAGAUAACAUGCAAAACUCAAGGUCGUAAUUUAAUAAGGAGCUAGUUGAAAAGGAAUUGUUGCAUGCUUCUAUAAGCAACUUUGUGUACUACCAAAUUCACACAAAGGACAAAACUGAGAUGUGCCUGCAGUGUCAUGUCAAAUUAUUUUCCUAUAAACACUGAAACUUAAGGCGCUUGACCCAUUUACAUUUUGCCUCAACUUAAUAUAGGCGCAGCAACUACAAGUUGCUAAAUGUCCAAUGCCCAAGUUGAAGAAACAAUUGAAAUAUUUAAGUGAGCAAAUUGCCAGAAAGAAAAAUAGGAAAUUAUAUGUCACCAUUUAAAAAUAUUAAAAGUAACCAAAGCAAUUACAUCUCAUUUCGCAUCUUUCUUCAAUAGACACAAAAGACAUGUUGUUGCUUCCUUUUCUUUUCAUUUGAUACCAAAGCAAGGUUGGCGAAUAAAAAUAUUUCAUGGACUCAGUACCUAAUAUCAACUAAUCAAUAGGGUACCAACUUUAACUUUUGCAUUCCAUAGAUGUGUAAGAAAUGUCAUAGAUUUGUUCUCUUUGUAAACUGCAUAUUCUCCCGAAAGCACAGUCUUAUUUAUUUGUGUAUGUAAUUUUUUUAACAACUAAUCCACCGGAUCGCCUGGGUAACUCUACCUUAAGGCCGAAGCCAGGACUUCAAGCUUAUGGAAUAGCAUUACGUUUAUGUAUCGUUACUUGGAUCAUGCCAAGAAAAAGAAGGAUUAACCUUAACAUACCUGGAGUAGGGAAAACUCUGUAUAAUAUUCUUGGAAAAGAUUGCAUAGAAUCGCAAAAUUUGGAUGGAAUUAAGCUUUUGUUCUUUGAAGUAUUUGAACGAAUUAACUUCUGUUCUUUGAAGUAUUUGAACUAGGAAAAUGGAAAUGUUUCUUGCUUUUUUUUUUUAAUUAAGAAUGUUUGUUUGUUCUUUUGUCCCAAUGGAAUGGGAUAAGACUUGUAAUAAGUCUUUACAUUAUUAAAUUCUAAUAAUUCUUAGGUGGCUACCUAGGAUUAUUGACUACUUAGUCAUUUUUGUAGGUUUGUGGCUACAUGCCACGUUUUUUGGGAGGAAAAUUAAUCUUAUAUAGUUAACUAGGUAAUGUUCCGUUAUCCGAUAAUUAAUAAAUUAUGCUUAUAAUUAAGACUUAUCUCAAUUUACUUAAAAUUUUACUUAUUUUUAAUAUAUUUUAUACAUCAUAUUACCGUGGUCAUAUAGUACCUUUUAUGGUACUAGUUCAUAAUUAUCGGGUAUUAUCGUUUGACCCGUAUUUUAUUCAAAAUUGGCCACUUUCAACGAAACUCGUUUUCUUUAAUUCGUGUACCCUUUAUCCUUCAUGACACUUAUUUAUCGCUUGUUAUAAAUAGCGUAUAUACUGUUAACCUCAAGAUAAUCUCACCCCCGAGCCUACGUCAAUUAACUGAAGACGAAACUUUUAACGUACGAAAAUGUGAGAUGUAACAGUGUCGAAAGCUUUGUUGCAAAAAUGUAGACCCCAUCACUUAUAAUAGCCCGCGGAAUACCAAACCUUGUAAAAAUAUUCUUCUUCAAGAACACCACCACACUUCUUGCCUCAUUAUUGGGUAGAGCAACAGCCUCAACCUAUUUGGACACAUAAUCCACCAUAACCAAGAUGUAGGUGUUUCCACAAGAGCUCACGAAAGGACCCAUAAAGUCAAUACCCCACACAUCAAAAAUAUCGAUCUCCAAAAUGGUAGUGAGAGAUAUUUCAUUUUUCUUUGAGAUUCCACUGUCCCGUUGACAUUCAUCACAUCUUUUUACUAACUCACUUGCAUCCUUGUAAAGAGUGGCCAAUAGAAGCCGCAGCUAAGCAUUUUGGCUGUUGUUCUUGCUCCACCAUGAUGACCACUAUAUGUUGAAGAAUGACAUGCCCUAAGAAUUUCACCUUCCUCUUCUUCCGGUACACAUCUUCUAGUCACCCCAUUCGUACAAAUUCGGAAAAGGUAUGGCUCAUCCCAAUAAUAAUCUUGACAGUCCUGUUUGAGCUUCUUACUUUGGUUUGAAAAGAACUCAUCCGGAAUGAUUACACACACAAGAAAAUUUGCUAGAUCCGUGAACCAUGACACAUCUUUCAUUGAAAUAGCCAAGAGUUGCUCAUCCGGGAAGGAGUCAUUGAUUUCAAGGCCAUCAUGCGGCCUUCCCUCAUCCUCCAAACGAGACAAGUGGUCUGCCACUUGAUUUUUACUCCCUUUUCUAUUUUGGAUGUCAAUAUCAAACUCUUGCAACAAAAGCACUCAUCUCAUCAACCGAGACUUGGAGUCCUUAUUGCUCAUAAGAUAUUGAAGCGUCGGAUGAUCUGUGUGGACAAUGAUUCUUGCACUCAUCAAAUAUGGGCGGAACUUCUCAGUUGCAAACACAAUGGCAAGUAGCUCUUUCUCCGUAACGGUAUAGUUGACUUGAGAACUAUUUAUGGUCUUACUAGUAUAGUAUACAAGAUAAAAUUUCUUGUUAAUGCGUUGCCCCAAAACAACCCCAAUCGCUAUGUCACAUGCAUUGCACAUGCGUUUAAAAGGGACACUCAAAUUUGGAGCGAUGAUGAUGAGAGUAGUUGUCAACUUGAACAUUAACAAUUCAAAAGCUCUCAUGCAAUCAUCAUUGAAGUUAAACUUAGCAUCCUUCUCAAGAAGCUUGCGCAACGGGUUUACCACCUUAGAGAAAUCUUUGAUGAAACAUCGGUAAAACCCCGCGUGGCCUAAGAAACUCCGAAAACCCUUCACCGAAGUUGGAGGUGGAAGUUUAUAAAUCACCUCAAUCUUUACCUUGUCAAAUUCAAUUCCAUUCUUAAAGAUUUUGUGUCCAAGGAUAAUGCCUUCCUCGACCAUGAAAUGACACUUCUCCCAAUUGAGCACCAAGUUUGUUUCUUCAUAUCUUGCCAAUUCUUUAUCCAAAUUUGCAAGACAAUUAUCAAAAGAAUCUCCAACCACCGAGAAGUCAUCCAUGAAAACUUCAAGGUAGUCCUCCACCAUGUCCGUAAAAAUAGCCAUCAUACACCUUUAAAAAGUCAUCGGUGCAUCGCACAAGCCAAAUGGCAUCCGCUUGAAAGCAAAAGUACCAUAGGGACUGCGAGCACGUAAUUGUUUCCCCACUUAAGAUUGCUCCUAAAAAGUCCAAAAAUAGUCUUCUAAUUAGCUUUGAGUUUUACAGAAUUUCUAAGGAUUUUUCUCUAUUUUUGUUAUGUUCACUUUUAUGCCAUUUAAUUGCAUUUUCAUAAUUAGAAGCAUUUUAAAUCAUGAAAAAAAUAAAAAAUAUUUUUUUCUUUACAUUUUUGGAUUUUCAUUGCAUUUCCUUAAGAUAUAAAAAAUCACAAAUAAAUAACACUUUCGAUUACCCUUAUUUUAUGCAUUUUAGUUAAUUAAUUAAUCAAUUAAUUAAAAUCAUUAGGUCACAAGUUUGGUUAGUAGGUCAAAUUUGCAAAAAUAGUUUCAAGUAGAAUUAGGUUGACUUGAUUUGAAAAAUGGAAUAAAGAAGAAGAGAAUGGGCUCUCAACCUUCGUUUUGAGCUAAGCAGCUUUAAUGGCCCAUUUACAUUCCACAUACAUGCCCAAACCCAUUACCUAGCUAGUCCUGUCCCUAUAUUAAUCCAAACGACCCCGUUUUGCAACAUUCAAUCCCCACCCUCCACCAUUCCCCAUCCAACGGUCCGCAACACCCCUCUUCUAACCCAUAAAAAUGUCGGACCAUAGACCCCUACCCCCCUAAAUCGUCUCAGACUCAUCUCUCUCACCCCUCUCUUAUCCCUCACCGUCCGCCACCGCCGAAAAUCGCCUACAGAAAUGGCGCCACUCCAAAUCAUCCCAAAUUAACACCACACAAUCCUCACCCCCCAUCAAAUCUUAACCCCUUACCUAUUUCCCCAAAAUUCCCAUCAAACUCGUCAAAUUUCGGAUCUAAGAAGUCACAAAAAACCUAAAUCUACCCCAUUUCGAGUUUCUUCAAAUUCUAGCCUACCUAAGUUUCAUACCAACAAUAAUUGAACACUUUUAUCGAGAGUUAUCAAUUGGAGUCGAUUUUGGACCUAUUUUAGGCCACCCGAAUCUGGCCACUACCACAAAACCCCCAUAAUGUUGAUUUCUUUGCCGGUAUAUGACAGACAUCGUCAUAUAUAGCAUUGGCUACGCCUCAAAUGUGGGCUAAUGCUCAUGUAACAAUGUUGGCUGUUAGCCGGGUAUCUUUUUUGGGUAGACUUAUCGUCAAAGGAUAAUCCUUCUUUCGUUUCUUUGAUUACUGCCUAUUUGAGGUUAAUGGAUUGACAUUUUGUGUUACAUAUCAUAGAUUAGGUUUAUUUCACAAUUAACAGCAUGUUUUUAGUAUUGUCUUCAACUUUUGUUAAAUUAAUCAAUUGAUAUGUUGAUUGUUAGUACAUCUUCUCGUAUGUUAGCAUGCUCUAGAUUAGUUAGGAUUUCAAAAUUUUGUGAUUAGGCCAAUAUUUUAAAAGCAUAGCAGUCGAUUUUAAUUAGGUUAGAGUCACUUCAAUUGGUUAAUUACAUGUGUGAAUUAGUUUAAUUACCUAAAAUAGGUUAAAGUUCGAAUAUUGCUUGUUGUGCUGUGAUUUUUUAAUUCAUUUAAGUUUUAUGAUAGCUAUUUGUAAGUACUAAAAUUCGGGGGUCUAAAAGAAGUAGGAAAACAAAGGAAUCUGUUUUAUUUAGUUGGAAAUGCAUUAAGAUGGGAGAAUAAGUUUAAAACUUGGGGUAAAAGUUGAAGUUUCAAAAGUUUAAAACGUGAUGGGAACAAAGAAAAAAUAUCUGAAAAGGGACAUCUGUCCAAUUCAGUUAAAAAGAUGCCUUAUCUCCUAGUUUUUAGUUGACAGAAUUUUCUGCAUUCCUCUCUGAAUUUUUCCUCACAAAGGCACGCUCCUACACUCUAUAUAAGAGGUCAUAUAUCACUCACUCAUACACACGAAUCAGACUACAACUUUCAAAGAUCUUUCAUUUUUCUCCACCCUCAUUUUCAGUAGAAAAACUUCUGAAAUUUCAGUCCUAAAAUCUCUAAAAAAAACUAAGAGAGAAAAGGUUCAAGGCUUUUUUCUGAGUUCAAAUCUUCUGCUACAAGUUCUGAGUUUAUAGCUGUUGAGGUCAAAGAAGUGUCACUGUUUUGUUGGAUUUGAAGUUUCGAUUGCUCCUUGUUUCCCUGUUGCUAUUUCACUACUACUAGGUGUAUUUAUCCAUCUUGUUAGUUUCUACUUGAACUAUAAAUGAAAUUAGGUUGUUUAUGCUAUACUCUUGCAGUGUUUAUCAUAAUUUUAGCAUGUGUAAAGUCCAAAUCUGUUGUGGUUUCAUUCUUGUUAAUCUGUGCAAUUGUUGGAAUGUUAAGAUCACGUGAGCAGUUUGUUGAAUGUUAAUAAGUGAUUUAACAUCUGUUUGAAUGUCAUUUUGUUCCUUUCUUUUUCUUUGAAAUGUGUGUGGGUUUCACAAUGUUUACUUCAUUGUGAAGUGAUGCAGGAAUUUGGUUCAUGUUUUAUUUCAAUUUGCUCAGCAUAGUGUUUUUAACAAGUGAGGAUAGCUUUGUAGUUAUUCUUUCACAAAGCUUUAACAAGCCAAGAGGAUCAUGAGAUGUGGUGAUUACAGAGAACUAGUUGUUCAUUUGAAUAUGUAACUAGCUUAAAGUAUCAUCUUAAUGUGUAUCCUAUAACAGAUUUUCAUAUGUAUGAAUUAGUUGUCAAUUGUGUUUAAAUCUAGCAUCAAUUUAGUUUGUUGAAAGUAUUUAAUCAUGGUUCAAUUAGUUUAGUAGAUUAAUUAUGCAUGUUUUUAUUUUUGGCCAACCAUGUGCUUGUGAAUAAAUGUGUAAUUGCAACAAAAUUUCCUUAGGAAAGCUUAUGGAAUUUUUCUUAGUUCAUUUGGGCCUUCGCUUGAGGGCCAGACUUCAAAAAGAAGUCAGCAGUGGAAGGUCUCACAGCUGGGCUUUAUAUGAAAGCCCAUUUGGAUGUCAGUCACCCUCAUGGUCGACUUAGUCUCUUUAAAUAAAUGUGAUUGGCCCUUUUUCUUACGAAUUAAUUCAUUUGACUUCCUUUCAUUUAGUCAAGUAAAUGAAUCUGCUAAUGGAUCCAGUAGCUAAUCUUACAAGGAAUUUUCCAUAAAUCAUGACCUCACAACAAAUCUCAAAGUAGUUUAGGAAAAUAAUUCUAAAUAUUGUAGUUUGCUUUAGGCGCGACUAAUAAUAAAUCAUCGUAACUAUGGGUACAAUUCCCGUGGCAUAGUCAUAAUACGUAAUCCCCAAUUCGAGUGUGCGUUUCACGUGACUCGACCAUAACUUCAAAUAAUAAUAAAAAUUAACAUGUUAUAAAUCGCCGGUGCGUUUCACGUGGCGCGAUUCUCAAUGUGUACCAAAACAAACGAGUGCGCGACAUUUCGACUUGUUCAAACAAAUUCCAUAAUUACUAAAAGCGAUUAAAAAGCAAAAAAUACACAAUAUGUUUCAAAUAUGUAUUAAAUCAGAUAAUUCGGCCAAUUAUUAAAUAGUUGAGCGACCGUGCUAAAACUAACAAAACUCGAAAAUGCCUAACAUCUUCUCCCGGGUUAACAAAAUUUCUUAUUCAAUUUUCUAGUUUUGCAGACUUUUUAAACAGAGUCAAAUUUCCUCGAUUUGAGAUUUAAAAAAUAAACUAGUGAAUUGGGACACCAUAAAUUAUUCCAAGUGGCGACUCUGAAAUAAAUAAUCCCAUUUCGAUUAAUGUCACUUUAAUUGGAAAAACUCCAUAUCACUUCGGGCUCGUAUGUUGGUUUCGGAGCCCGGUACAUGUCGGAUAUGUCAUUUAAGACUUGUUCGCAAAAUUUGGUGUCAAUCCGAGUAGUUUUAGGGCGUUUCGGCUCGUUAGGGGAAAAUUAAGAACUUGAAGUUAAUAAGUUUGAUUCAUUUGGUUUUAGGGGGUGACUCUUAGAUUUAGCAUUGUUUCGGGUGUUCCGAAGGUUCAAGUAGUUCCGUCUCGUGAUUUCAGACUUGUCGGUAUGUUCGAGCGGGACCCGAGAUCCCUGAGCAUCAAAUGGACGAGGUUCGAGUGAAGUUGAGAAUUUGUAGAAGUGCUGAAGCAUCUGCUUCUGUCAUAACCGCACAUGCAGUUGGUCGACUGCAGAAGCGGUCGUAACCUCACAGAUGCGGCUUAGAGCUGGCCAGGCCAAACCGCAGAAGCAGCUCCUUAGCCGCAGAAGCGGCUUCGCAGAUGCGGCUUCAAGACCGCAGAAGUGGUCCUAGUCCUUUUAGCCAAUUCCGCAGAUGCGGUCCCCUGACCGCAAAUGCAAAAACUGCUGAAGCAGUGAGCUUCAUUUAAGUUGAGCUCCAGCCAUUUUGACCAUGUGAUACUUGGGUAUUGAGCGAUUUUGGAGAUCUUGAGAAGGGAUUCCCACAUAGCAUCGUGAGGUAAGUUCAUCCCCCUUAUUUCUAUAUUUAACACUCGAGUUUUGGGUAGAUUAACACCUAAAGAUUUGGAGAAAUCAAGGGGGAUUAGAGCUAGAUCUAGGGUUUUAAUGAAACUUAGAUUUUACCACAAAAUUGGUUAUGAAAUGGAUUAAAAAUCAUAUAUUAUUGGUUCUUAGGUUAUAGAGAACAACUUCCUUCGGAAAAUUUUGGAAUCCGGGCACGUGGGCCCGGGGUCGGAUUUUUGGAAACUUGUAUUAAUGGUUGGGAAAUGGCUUAAAUAGCUAGAAUUCGAUCUUGUGAGCUUAUAUUGACUAGUUCCUACCUCAUUUAACUAGUUUUGGAUCGUUCGGCUCUAAAUUGAGAGUUUGGGCUCGUUCUUAUUAUUGGAAGUGCACUUUGGAACGAAGUGAGUCUCCUUUCUAACCUUGUAAGAGGGAAUUGUUCCCAUAGGUGUAAUAAUUGAAUAAUUUGCUGCUAAAUGCGGGGGCUACGUACGUACUAGGUGACGAGAGUCCGUGUAUAGCUACUAUUAUGUCAAUUGUCCGGGAAGUCUAGGACCCGUAUCAUGUUAUAUUUGUGAAUGUCUCUAUAUUUUCUUGCUAAUGUGAUCACUUAGGGCAUGCUAGAGACUUGGAAAGGAAUAUAAGCGAAUGUAUGCACUUGUUGGACACUUGUAUGAAUUUACGUGGAAUUAAAUGCGCAUUCAUGUGUUUUCUUGAUAUUAAUUGACAUUUAUGGAUCGGGCCGAUCACCUCGGUAGAAAUAGAUGCAUCUAUGGUUCGCGUCAUUCGACCCUCUGGCAGUUCACAAUUUAUUUUCUGUUGGAUCAGGCCGUCGACCUCGGCAUAGUGUGCACAUGAUAUCUAUGUGAAAUCUUAUCCAUGACUCGACCUGCUAAAUAUCUGAAAUGUAAAUGGCUAUUUGUAAAUUGUUAAGAACAUGAAAUAUUACCUCUUGCUACCAACUGUUGAUUAUUUGUGACUCUCAUGCUUAGCGUAACACUUCAUUAUAUUAUUUGACCUUAGUAAGUAUCAAGUCGACCUCUCGUCUCUACUUCUUCGAGAUUAGACGGGAUACUUACGGGGUACAUAUUUUAUGUACUCAUACUACACUUCUGUACUUAAUUGUACAAGAUUUGAGGCAGGUACAUCUGGCUAGCAGUCUAGUGUGCGCCCCUGAUUCAUAGUCCGAGACUUCCGCGGUGAGCUGCCCCUUCCUGUGCUGUUCAGCAGCUUGAUGGAGUCUCUCUUUAUCUAUUUUUGUUGUCUAUUCUAUUUCGGACAGUAGGAUGUAUUUAUUCUUUUGUAUAUUCUACUAGUUGCCCAUAACUUGUGACACCAGGUCUUGGCACACACAUUAGUAGACGUUUCUUUUGGGUUGUAUAAUUAUUAUCGAAUGUUGCAUAUUAUCACCUAUUUUUAAUUGCAAAUUAAGAAAAUGUUGUAACUGUUUUGGGUAAGUAAAAUAAGAGUUUACUAAUACUUCCGCAUUGGCUUUCCUGACAACGGUGUUGAGCGCUAUCACGAUCUGUAAUGAAAAUGGGUCGUGACAACUGUUAUACUUGGCUUUUGAUUAUUUUUUGAUUUUUUUACAUAUUUGGGCCUAAUGUGCUAAAUGCCGCAUUUUACCGCUUUGAUAUUGAUUGAAUUGUAUAUAAACUGUUACGAAACCCUCUUCUCUCUAAGUCUUCUGAAUCUUCUGGGAAGCAUGCGCUUCGCGUGGAUUCUUUUCUAUUAGAGUCAUAUCCCAAUUUUAGAAUGAGGUUCGAAAAAGUUGCAAAGUCGGUGAAGCUUCUAUAAUCCCGGUACGCUGCCCCCUUCCCCCGGCUCGAGUUGUUCGCUCGGGUAAGCCAGGUCUAGAACAAUACACCCAGGUUUUAAACAUAUAAUAACAUAGCCUCAUGCCUGAUCCCUAGUAGGUACGUUUGUUUGCAUUACGUGCAUUUGACUUUGGGGACUCAACACAGGGGUUGGGUCCAUCUAAGACAGGUGUACCCAAAAUUAAAAGAUCAUCCUGAUGCAUUUUAUGUGCCACUUGUACAUAUAUUUGCUUCGGCUUGCAUGUUGACUGACUUCUAGAAUGGGGAAGAAAAAUCAAGAUAAACCAAGAUUGAGGUAGGAGAGAGAAAUCACCCAUUUCUGAAAACCCCGGUAUUCAAAAUAUCCCGAAACUCUGUCGAAAUUUUGAAAAAAGAAAAGAAAAGAAAAGUCAUUUCGAAAUAAGUUAUAUUUUCCUGUUGCAUCAAAACUUACUGAACUACGUGGGUUUGAUUCCCACCGGACGUGAGAUACGUAGACAACCUUCAUCAGGUUCAGCCCUAUUUUUGCAAAAAUAGCCAAAAUAUAAAAAUGCUGCCAUUUUGUCAUAAAUAAAGUCAGGUGAUGCCGUUUUUGUCCAAAAUAGCCAGAAAUGUCCCGAUGGGAUGCCGGAAGGCUAUUUUUGCAAGAAUAGCCACCUUGGGCCCUCUUUCUAAUUUUAGGCCACUUAGCGGGCACAACCUUAAAAUCUUCCCUUCUGAAGUGCUAAAGGGCCAUAUUUGCAAAAGUAGCCAUGAUUUGUUUUAAGUUAGAUUUUAUAAUAAAUAGUCUUUUCAUGGUUAGUGUUUUAAUAAAAAUUCACAUGCUUUAACGAGUCAUCCUAAUUUAAAAAUGUGCAGAAUGAGCCCCAUUGAGAACCUACCUUUUUGAGUCGUAGAUGAGAUUCCACUAAGACUCUACAUGUGGUGGAACGACCUGGGGGAGGUCAGCUAGCGUUCUGUGACCAAAGCUUUAGGUGGGCUCACCGGUCUUUUGAAGAUUAAACCCAGGGUUGACAUAAUUGAAGCUUUGAUUCCGUUUUGGACCCGACAUACAAUAUUUUUCACUUCUCUGACUUUGAAUGGACCCCUACUCUAUAGGAGAUGACAUGUUAUGCUGGUCUUGAUGGGAAUCUCAGGCACCAAUAUCCAGUAGCACUAAUGACUAUAACCCCUCAUAAGUUUUCGGACCUUCUGAGCAUUAACCGGCAGGUUAAAGAUGAAAAUUUGGUAGGAGGAUUCUGCACAUUCCACUUCUUAUACAGCUGGUAUGGGAACCCCCACAAAUUUGAGGCUUCGAAUACUAUUUUGAGUUAAUAGGAAAAUAAAAACAAGUGGGAAGCACACAGAGGUUUAGCCUUCGUAGUUGCAUUUUUAGGCACUCCGAUAUGCCCAAGGAGUGACAGAAAUAUAGAACUGGGACUUGCAGGAAUGGCCGACUUUAUGGUCAAAAAGGCCAACUGUACUCUUAUACCAAUGAUUCUCGCAUAAAUCUAUCGAGCUUUAACCGCCUGUCGAGCUGGUGCAAUGUUCUUUGAGGGUUGCAACUUGCUUUUGAAAAUGUGGCUGGUGGAACAUCUCUACCAUCGCCCUAGGUACAUGAACUACGGAUUGACCGUACUCAAUUGUGUUGAAAAAUAUGGAAACCGGGUAAACGGCUAUGAGUUGCCCGAGGGUACUGAAGCAUGGUUCGCAUAUUUGGGUUCUUUGACCACAAAGCAAAUUGAGUGGACUUUCAGUUGGCUCCCGGUCCACGAGGUUAUUUACAUGUCCAUCGGGGUGUGCUUUAUCUUACUGAUGGGUCUUCGGAGUAUUCAGCCAUAUGCUUCUAUGCCAAUUGGGAAGGUAUCAAACAAUCCCUCACGAUGAAGAUCUAAGUCCACAAGUGAUUGAUCUAUGCCCAAAGGCCGCAUUCCCAAAAGAAAAGGUUCGCCAGAUUUGGCACCAAUGUAGGUUUCUAAAGCCACAAACUCAAGUGCGGGAUUUUUCCUCAAGUGAAGUAGAAUCUAACUACACGGCAUGGUAUGGUAAGAGAGUUCAGGUCGAUAAAGAUCCAGAACAGACCCCCAAAAAGCCCCAUGUCCAACAAUUCACCAACGGAGCGCAAGAACAGUGGGUUUGUUUAGCUAAAGAGAAGGACUACCGGACCACCAUAAGCAAACUAGAAGAUCAAGUCAGAAACCUCAAAUUUGAUAGUAGUUUGCAGGCUGCCGAGGAUGAAGGAGAAAAGAAAAGGUUGGCUCAGGAAAACGAAGCCCUCCGAGCUCAUAUUCAGAAAAUGAAAAUAGCCGCUGAAACCCUGGCAAGAAGCGAAAUAGAUGAAAGACUCAUGAGAAAUCUGAGGCAAAAAGUGCAUGAUUAUGGGUUUGAUCUAACAAAGGCCGAGGAUGAAUUGGAAAAAGCUCCGCUAAAGUUGGCAAAAAGUGCAGAAGAACGGACAAGGUUUGCUCAGCAGUUAAAGCAAAAGUAUGAUAGAUGGGUCACGGUCUUAAGGGAAAAGCUGACUAAUCACGAAAAUAAAAUGGUCCAACAGACAAAGGAUUUCAAAACUAAAAGAGAGCAUUGCUAUACAUUGAUUUCCCGAUUGGAAGAAGGCAUGUAGUAGUUACAGGACCAAAACCAUAUGACCACACAGGUGUUGGAGGCUCGGACACAACAAAUUGGAUGCAUGCUCCAAGAAAAGGGUGUCAUUAGAAUGAGGAUAAAAGAAAUCGCUUAUUAUAUUGCAAUGAAGUGUCAUGAAUGUGAAGUUAUGACCCGGUCCAUGUUCUUUGAUUCUGUGAUGACCUUUGUCCGUCAGGUGAUGGCUGAUUUAGAGUACCAUCAAGAAGAGAUUGCACGCAGGCCCUCGUCAAGACUGACUGAUGUCCCACGAGCUCCCGAAGUAGCAUUGGAGGCUCUUAUGUAUUCUUGACUUUUUUUGGCUUUGAGUUUGUAUUCUACUUUUUCGAGUCUGUUCAUCUUUUCCAAGUCUGUUUGUUCUUUUGUUUUGACUUUAUAUGUUUUUUUAAUCGUUAGUAUUUCCAAGUCUUUAUAAUAGAAAAACCCAAAAAUAUUUUUAUUUAAUGAAAUAUUGAAAAACCCAAAUUUUGUCUUUUCUUUUAUUCCACAUUUGUUCCAUGAGCUACGUAAUGGUCUGAUUCAUACGGCGUCAUGAUACAUAGACAAUUCCCAUCUGAUUUGAUCAUAGCCAUAGACAAUUUGAGUGAAAAAAUAAACUGAAAAAAGAGAAGAAAGAAAAGAUUAAAAUUGAGUGAAAAAGAAAAAAGGUGAGUGAAAAAAUAAAAGAGCAAAAAGAGAAGGGAAAAGAAAUUAGGAUUUGAAAUUUGAGAAAAGAGACAGCAAAGCCGGGAUGAAACAGGCAGCCGUUGCAAAAACAUUUAGAAAUGUUUAACUGUUCAGGUGCAUUGCAUCCCCAAUAUGUGAGUCCCUAUAUGUUAAAUGUCUCAAACUAACCAGGUUGUUGUGUGUGAAAAUUGAGUAGGUCCUGUUUAGGUGGUUGGUUUUGUGGUAAUCUGGCUUCCCAUCCUUACUUCACAAGAUCUAAAGGUAGUGUUCCUAUGGCCUCCAAAAGUCAACUGCCAAUUAUUGAUCCUGAGGAUAGCCCAGUAUCGGCUAUUCUACAACCAGAGUCAGCAACCGCUAAAGAAAAUAAGAGGUUGUGUGUCCGUAUGUUAGAGAUGUGGGGCGCUUGGUCCAACGGCAAAGAACCACCUAGUACAAUCCCCGAAUUUCCUCAACUAAUUCCCAGGAGAGUGGAACCACUAACAUCCCCAUCCCCAUGAUCAACCCAUUCGUCCCGUUUGGGUACCCCACUAUAUCAGCCAAUUUUACCAGUAUGCCUUCUGAGGUUCUUCUUAGGCGCUAUUUUUAGGGGUACCUUCUAUAUUAUUCACCAUACCACCAGUCUCUCCUACGUCACAACCAACAAUGCCCAGUCCAUGCUUCGAGCCUUCAACUUUCACUUUUCAAGGCCCGCAAUUUUAGCUAGACACAACUCAUGUUACCCCAAACUCUUACGCUCAGCACCCAUAAUAUUAGUCUCACAUGGGACAGGAGAGAACAGCGAGAAACCCCCAGCAGGAAGAAAUGGCUCGGAAGAUGAGAAGCCUAGAACAAAGCCUGAAAAGCAUGCAAGGCCUGAGUGGACAUAAGAGUGUCUCGUACUCAGACCUAUGCAUGUUUCCCCAUGUUCACUUUCCUGCUGGUUUCAAACACCAAAAUUUGAAAAGUAUGACGGGCACGGGGACCCAAUCACUCAUCUGAAACGAUACUGUAACCAGCUGAGGGGUGCUGGUGGAAAAGAAGAAUUAUUGAUGGCUUAUUUCGGGGAAAGCCUAACUGGAAUCGCUUUAGAAUGGUACAUGGAUCAGGAAAUCUCCCACUGGCACAUAUGGGACCAUUUGGCCUGCGAUUUCGUCAGACAGUUUCAAUAUGAUGUUGACAUAGCUCCAAACAGGAAUUCCCUAUCUAACUUAAAGAAAAAACCAGUGAGAGCUUCUGUGAAUAUGAUAUUAAAUGGCGUGAGGAGGCUGCCAGAGUAAAGCCUUCCAUGGAUGAAACCGAGAUGGUUACGGUCUUCUUACAGGCCCAGGGGGCCGAUUACUUUCAGAACAUGAUGUCCUUCAUGGACAAACCUUUUGCAGAGGCUAAAAAUCGGAGAAAUGGUGGAAAACGGUCUGAAAAUUGGCCGAAUAUUAAGUCAAUCUUCUUUGAGAGCCUCCUCCUAAGCCAUCCAGAAUGACUCAGAGGGUUUGGACAAUCGAAAGAAGAGGGAGGAAGGAACCAUGAUGGCUUCAGGUUCAAUAGGGCCCCGUCGAUCAUAUGAUCUCUCCUACAUGACGCCCAGAACCGCGCAACACUACUAUCCCCACCAAGAUGCAGUGUAUGCCGUGGCAAUGCCUCCCUAUGCGGUAUUGAAUGCCCAACCAUAUACACGGUCGCAACAGCACUACAACCAAAAUUGAGCUCCACCUCCCAGAAAUAUUCAUCCUCACAAAGCUCUAUAUAACCCCCAACCACUACAAAUAACUACCAACAUAAUUCACGCCCUCGUGAGCCUCUCAAAAGAAACAACUUCACUUAUAUUGGUGAAUCCUACUCUAGCCUAUUUCCGAAGUUAAUCCAGAUGGGUCUAUUGCAACCUGUACUCCCAAACUGGCAAAAUCCUGAAUCCCCAUCAUAUCGACCCGGUACUAGGUUUUCCUACCAUUUUAGAGCAGAGGGUCAUAAUACGGAGGAUUGUUGGACCCUAAAAAGGGCAGUUGAAAGUUUAAUAGAACAAAAACAAGUGGUGCUGAGGGACGGGGAAGUCCCUAAUGUGACUAACAAUCCAUUACUGGCUCACAAUAAUGGGAUGAUCAUUAGAAUGAUCUGUGAUGACAAGGAAUUUAAUCCAGCCUUGAAAGCCAUCAUCGCCAUUGCUGAUUCAGAGGCAAGACCCAAAGCGGCAGCGAAAUAAGCCGGAAAUGAGAAGAAAAUCACUCCAAUUCCUCAAGGUGUAGAAAAAGCUUUAGAAACAUAAACUACAUCAGCCACUUUCUAAGAACACAAUUCUCUAUGUUCCUAAGGCCCCUAGGAAAGAACAACUCAUUUUGAACACUCCCAAAAGAUUCGAACAAAAGAAAGCCAUGUUGAAUGUGCCAAAGUUAUAUGUGCCAAAAGGGGCUUAUGUAACGUGGGGGCUGAUAAUUCCACCAAGGCUGACUGCGCCCGUAGUUAUCAACCGCAUGCCACAGAGCCCUAUGAGAGACUCCACCACAGUCCCCUGGAAUUACAACAAAACAAUAGUUACUUACAAUGGGAAAGAGGUCAUGGGUGAGGUAAACAAAAUGAAUCAAUCUGAGAGAUACCACAACCCAGAAGAGUUACAGAAAUCAAAACUGAACAAGGAGAAACGAUUUCCACCCAAGAAGCUUGUGAGCGCUGAGGAAGCAGAAGAGUUUUUUCGAAAAAUGAAAACUUUGGAGCAUGCAAUAGUUGACCAGCUCCGGAAGACUCCGUCUCAGGUUUCACUUUUAUCUCUUUUGUUGAGCUCAAAUGAACAUCAUAAGGUACUCUUGAAAGCAUUGAAUGAGGCAUAUGUUCCGGUUGACACUUCAGUUGAACAACUGGAAAGAAUGGCUGAACGAUUCCUCGAGGUCAACAGGAUUUCUUUCAGCCGCGAUGAUUUUCCACUAGAGGGAGCUGCCCACGACAAAGCCCUUCACCUGACUAUCAAAUGUGAGGGCUAUUAUGUAAAGAGAGUCAUGUUAAACGGUGGUUCCGGGGUUGACAUUUGCCCCCUCUCAACACUCCAGAGGAUGGAUAUUGGAACAGAAAGAAUCCGACCAAAUAAUGACUGUGUGCGCACUUUUGAUGGUGUCAAGCGAGACAUAAUAGGGGAAAUCGAUUUGAUUCUAACCAUUGGUCCUGUGGAUUUCAAAGUGAAUUUCCAGGUUCUGGACAUGGAUACCUCAUAUAAUUUUCUUUUAGGAAGACCAUGGAUUCAUGCUGCAGGAGCUAUGCCCUCCACUCUCCACUAAAUGGUCAAGUUUGAGCAUGAAAACCAAGAUAUCGUUGUCCAUGGGGAGGAUGAACAAUCCAUUUACAGGUACCCUUCAGAGUGAGCACAUUGUAUACCAAGCCUUCGAGAUUGUGGUCGCCGAUCAAUGCGAAGAAGGGGCCCCAUUCCCUCAGCCUGCUUAUCUAAUGCCUCUGUCAUGGUCGCCAUUAAAAUGAUUAAACAUGGGUAGAAGCCCGGAAAGGGGCUUGGGGUAUCUCUACAAGGCAUCACAGAGCCUAUCACUUUGAUCGCCAAUGAGAAGUUCUUCGGCAUAGGUUUCCAAGCUACAAAUGCCGAUAGAAAAUGAGCUGAUGAGCACAAGGAAAAUGGGUGGGUCCUUCCCCAGCCCGUUUCGCAUCUCGCCAAGUCAUUUGUUAAACUCAAGUAUGUAGAAGAAGAAGAAGAAGAAGAAGAGGCCUUCACAGCCGAAGAGAUUGAGGAUAUUUGUGAAGCCAUGAAACAAAUGUUGUACCACAAUGUCUGUUGGCAGGUCGGCUUUCGGAGUUUGAGUCUCAAGCUAGGGAUCACCACUUCCUUUAGUAGAAGCUCCGAUAUGAAAUAACAAUCGUUAUAGAUAGACUUUGAGAUGCUUGAAUAGCUGCAGCCUAGCCUUUUCGUUAACUAGAUCUCCUACCUCCACUAUUAAUAAGUGGUGGCAAGACUCGAAUCCUAGACCUCUACCUGCUCUACUAUGGUGAAUUGUGUGAACCGUCUCAUCUAAGUCGUGCCAUCAAAGUCAAAUUUCCAUGCUCUCCUCUUCUGUGACAGCUAUUUCCUCGUCUGGGAAGCAAUCCUUAAACUCAUGUUCCUCCUUAAUAGGGUGCAAGGUGUUCUUCUAUCACCCUUCCUUUUUGGUUACAUACGUGAUGUCAAAUUCAGACAGAAGCAGUAACCAUCUUGCGGUCCUUCCCAUUACGUAAGUCUCACAUGGUCUAGCUGAGUGAAGGCACGAGCACUGCUGAGGUGCUGUACAUGGGACUGAAUGCCAAGCUUCAGAAUUGGAAAGCUACCCCAUUCCCUAUCAGGCGGGAAUCCCGGUAGUCCAGACUUGCCAUCUUUUCUACAUUACGAGUUAUUUCAGGGUGUAACUCAAAUGUUUUUACUUUAUUAUCUUUUGAUUUCGAUGUAAACCAUCAUAUCUUCAAUUCAAUUCAAUGAAAUCAAUAUUUCAUUGUCAAUGGAUGUAUCCUUUUUCUUUAUUCUGAUUUUUGCUGUUUUUCUUAUCUUUUUCUUUUUAGUUCUAAUAAUGUUGACUUAAAUAAUAUGAGAUGCUUGCAGAUCUUAUGCCCAGAUCCUAAAAUGCUGUCUAACUGUGAAAUAAUGAAUCAAGAAUUAGAAUAUAACAAAGAUGAGGCUUUUAGGGAAAUAAAGAGAACUGGAACAAUUUGAGAAUAAGCCUGAGCCAAACUUCAAUGAAACUGAGCUAGUUAAUUUGGGCAGUCCAGAAGAGGUCCGGGAAACCAUGAUAAACAUUCACGCCGAUGAAAGAACUAGAGAUGCAUUGAUCCAACUUUUGUUUGAAUUCAAAGACGUGUUUGCAUGGUAUUGUGAUGAUAUGCCAAUGCUGAGUGUUGAUUUGGUGGUACACGAAUUGCCAACUUAUCCCAAUUAUCCACCCGUCCAACAAAAGCAGAGAAAGUUUAAAAUGGACAUCAACGAUAAGAUCAAAGAAGAAAACACCAAACAAUUGAAAGCUGGUGUGAUCCGAGUGGUCUGAUAUACCACAUGGUUGGCUAAUGUGGUCCCAGUGUUGAAGAAAUACGGGAAAACCCAAGUAUGUGUUGAUUAUCGAGAUUUGAACAAAGCAAGCCCCAAGGACAAUUUUCCAUUGUCAAAUAUUCAUAUUCUUGUUGAGCCCCCAAGUCCUGAUGGAUGAGGACGAUGUAGAAAAGAUGGCUUUCACCACAUAGUGGGGCACUUACUGUUACAGGGUCAUGCCAUUUUGUUUGAAAGAUGCCGGGGAAACCUAUAUGAGAGUCAUGACUGCCAUCUUCCGUGACAUGAUGCACCAAGAAAUUGAAGUGUAUGUGGAUGAUAUGAUCAUCAACUCUAGAAUGCAAGAAGGCCAUAUACAAGAUCUGAGGAAAUUCUUUGAAUGCUUACACAGGUAUGACUUAAAAUUAAACCCAGCUAAAUGUGCAUUUGGAGUUCCAUCUGGAAAACUUCUGGGGUUUAUAGUCAGUCGGAGAGGUAUCUAGUUAGAUCCAAUAAAGAUAAAGUCUAUUUGGGAUUUACCAUCUCCGAGAACCAAGAAAGAGGUCAUGAGUCUGCUAGGACGACUAAAUUACAUCAGCAGGUUCAUUGCUCAGCUUACCACCACUUGUGAGCCUAUAUUCAAAUUGUUAAAGAAAGGCGCGACAAUCAAAUGUACAUAUGAGUGUCAAGAGGCUUUUGAUAAAAUCAAAGAAUAUUUGUCGAAUCUACCAGUAUUGGUUCCACCCGAGUCGAGAAGACCUUUGUUCUUGUACCUAACAGUCUUGAAAAAUUCUUUCGGGUAUGUCCUGGCGCAACACGAUGUGACUGGGAAAAGAGAGCAAGCCAUAUACUAUAUGAGCAAGAAGUUCACCAAUUAUGAAGCCAAGUAUACUUUGUUGGAAAGAACUUGUUGCGCCCUGACUUGGGUUGCCCAGAAGCUCAAACAUUAUCUUUUGGCCUACACCACAUAUCUCAUAACCAGAAUGGAUACAUAUUCCAAAAACCAAUGCCCACGGGGAUGUUAGCAAAAUGGCAAAUCCUGCUCAUUGAGUUCGACAUUGUCUAUGUCACCUGCACGACGAUGAAAGCUCAAGCCUUGGCGGAUCAUCUAGCGGAAAACCCGAUUGAUGAUGAAUAUCAACCUCUAAGCACCUAUUUCCCAAACGAGGAAGUAAAUUUAGUUGAAGUGAUUCCAGAGGACACCAAUGCGUGGAAAAUGUUCUUUGAUGGAGCUGUAAAUGCAAAAAGGUGUCGGGAUUGGAGCAAUUCUGAUAUUGCCCACAGGUCAACACUAUCCAGCCACAACCCGACUUCGAUUCUUCAGUACGAACAACACUACCGAGAAUGAAGCUUGCAUAUGGGCAUGAAUAUAGCAGUUGAUCUGGAUAUAGAGGAAUUGUUAAUCAUGGGGGAUUCUGACUUGAUCAUUCGGCAAGCCCAAGGCGAAUGGGAGACUCGAGAAAUCAAACUCAUCCCAUACAGGAAAUAUGUGGAAGAUCUCAGCAAAAAGUUCCAAUCCGUAAAGUUCAAGUAUAUUCCUCGAUUCCACAAUGAGCUAGCUGAUGCACUAGCUACUUUGGUCUCAAUUCUGCCAUAUCCGGGCAAUGUCCAUAUUGACCCGUUGGAAAUGAUAUGGGGCUUAUUAUUAAUAAUUCUAUUGCUCGGUUGUUAUUGUUUUAUUGUUUGGGUGAGGAGGAAUGUAAAGUACGAAGGGUGAUGCCGUGCCAUUACAUAUUUACUUUCAUAUGAGGAAGAGUGUAAAUCAUGAAGGGUGAUGUCGUGCCAUUUCAUAUUUACUUUCAUGUGAGAAAGAGUGUAAAGCACGAAGGGUGAUGUCGUGCCAUUGCAUAUUUAUUAUCAUGUGAGGAAGAGUGUAAAGCACGAAGGUGAUGUCGCGCCAUGUCAUAUUCAUUAUCAUUAUUCAUUUCAACUGUUAUUGUGAGGAAGAGAGUAAAAGCACGAACAAUGAUGUCGUGCACUUGUUUUGCUGUGUUUCUUUACUGUUCUGUUUUCAUGAUCUCGUACUCCCCUCAGCAUGUUUCUACCCCUCCCGUUAAUACAUGUUUAAUUUUUAUUAUUUAUUAUUAUUCCGUAUAUUGCUUAACUGCACAGGUUAUAUAUGUGUCUUGUCCUAGCCUCGUCACUACUUCGCCGAGGUUAGGCUCAACACUUACUAGUACAUGGGGUCAGUUGUACUGAUACUGCACUCUGUACUUUCUGUGAAGAUUUCAGUACUAGACCGUAUUGAUCAGAGUUGUGUUGCUGCCUUCAGUCCUUCAGGAUACCCAAGGUAGAUCUGCCAGCGUUUGCAGACCCUGGAGUCCCCUUUCCAAUUAUCCUAGUUUUCCUGUUUUCUUUUAAUUCGAGAAUAGUUGUAUUUUCUUUCAGCCAGCAUUUGUAGUGACUCUUAGAAGUUCGUGGAUUGUGACACCAAAUUUUGGGUAGUCGUGUAUUAGUACUUGGAUUAUUAUGAAUUUCUGCACCUAUUUACUCUGUUUUUGAUUAAUUAUUGUUAAUUACUUAUUUGGAGAGUGGUUAGCCUGUCAAUUCUUUAACUAUUUUCUUGCCUAGCAUUCUGAAAAGUUAAGCGUCAUUACGAUCCCGAUGGUGGGAAAUCCGGGUCGUGACAACAACUGACUUAAAACUUGAAAUGAAUUCCCUCAUUCUCCAGGUGGGCACCUGCCAAUGACUUGAACUUGAAAUAAAUUCUCUCGUUCUCCAGGUGGGCGCAUGCGACUGACUUGAAACUUGAGAUGAAUUCCCUCGUUAUCCAGGUGGGCGCCUGUAACUGACUUGAAACUUGAAAUAAAUUCUUGCAUUCUCCAGGUGGGCACCUACGACUAACUUGAAACUUAAAAUAAAUUCCCUCGUUCUCUAGGUGGGCGCCUGCAGUCACAACAAAAUAGACAAAACAAAGAAAAUUUUCUGCCUCAGUUUGUACCAGGAACAUUUGUGGGUGUUAGUUGAAUUCCAUUUUCGAGGAGGGUCCUGAAAAGUUAAAACUGAAUCUCAUUAUCUAGGAGGGUCCUGAAAACUUAAACUGAAUUUAAUUAUCCGGGGAUAUGUUGUAAACCUAAAACUAAAUCUCAUCAUCCAGGAGGGUCCUGAAAACCUGAAAUUAAAUACCAUUAUCCGUGAGGGUCUUGAAAAAAUUAAAACUGAACUUUCCUGGAGCAUGCUUUCCUCAUGGAGGAUUCUGGCGAAGCAAACAAAAUUUCUUGCCCCAGUUUCAAACAAAGAAAAUCUUGUCAGUUUGAAAAUGUGGUAGUUAGUUUGUGGCAUCCUUGCUGAAGGUGUCUGCUUUUGCCACUACCAUGCUUCAUUCCGAUUAGCUUCUUCGGUCUAACAAAGAAUUAUUUGACCUUCCGAUCGAACCUCGGCCACAAAAACCUCCGAAUUACCCGAAUCCCUUACACUCAACUUGUUGUAUGGCAUUUUUAUUCUGACAAUUAUUGAACCUUUGCAUUUCCUCAAAAUUCACGAAUUACUUGACCACCUAAACGUCAAUUACCACCCACAUUGCUCAUUAUAAAUCAUGUCACUUGUGAUGUGCUUGGAUGAACUUCGCUUGAUGCAAUUAAAAAGCUGGUAAUGGGCUUUGAAGUCCUUUCUUGAUUGUUUAACAAAGACUCACUUGACAGAGACUUAGAAAAAUAGACCCAAAAGAAACGAAAUGAAGUGACUUCGAGAAAUUAGGAAUAAAAGGAAAUUUUUGAACAGAGAUGACUAUUUGAAGAAGAAUGGAAAAGAGACUUAUCUUAGUGAAGCAGUUGGCUCCAAUGAUCAUGACAUGCAUUUCGGAUUGAUCAGCCUAAUCCAUCCAACUAAUCACAUUUUAGUUCAUGCUCAUGAACAAAGUGUUACCCAGGACGUAAAUCAUACCUCUAUCUUGAUUGACUUGGCAUCCUCAAAGAUUGAUCAGAAGGUCUCUCUUUGGACUGUAGUGUAGGCUUUUGGAAAGGGUUAGAAAGAAAGGGUAGCAUGAAGGCUCAAAAUAAUUUAAGAUGAAAGGGUUCAAAAUUACAACUUUUGGAAUCAGAUCUUUUUGCAAAACUAAAACUUCUGCCCCAGUUUCUUUGCAUAUGGGGAAUUUUGGAUUUUUAUUUUGAUGGGACCGAACCUCAGAGUAAGGCUGCCUACGUAUCCAUAAAAAGGAAUCAGGUCAAACGUAGUUCAAACGUAAAGUUGUUUUUUUUGUUUGUUUUUUUCCUUUUUCUUUCUUCUUUUUUCUUUUCUUUUCUUUUCUUUUCUUUUUCUUUUUCUUUUUCUUUUCUCUUUUUUUUCUUCUCUUUUCUUUUCUUUUUUUUCCUUUUCUUUCUUUUCCUUUCCUCCCUUUGGUUUUUCUUUUCUUUUCCUUUUCCUUUUCCAUUUUUAUGCUACUUCUAAUUCUAAAAGAGGGGUAUGAAAGAAAACAAAUAAGGCUCAAAAGCGGUGACAAAAGAUAACAGUGUUUUGAUAGUAGAAUAAAAUACUUUCAUCAUUCCAACAUUGAAUAUGCCAAGUGCAAAAAACGCAAAUGAAGAUAAGCCGAAAAAUCAUACAUAAAGUGAUAGCCAUAUCUACACAUUUGCCUUCUAUAUCUGUUAAAUAUAAAACACCAUUGGGCAACACUCUUGUCACAAUGAACGGCUGAUGUGCCAGAUAAUUUCGGCAUAUUUAAUACAAAUUGCUUAGAUUUUAGCUUGUUUUAAAUGCAAUUAUCUUUUAUACUUAUGUAAUUUUAAUGUUUUUGCAGUGUAUGAGGUGUAAGGACCUAAGAACAUGGAAAUUAAAUCAAAAAAACAAAAAUACAAGAAAAGAGCAAAAUGCGAUAGCAUACGUGAAGAUGCGGGCCGCAAAUCCAACAUGCAGACCGCAUAAUGCCCGAAGAAAUUGCAGAGUCAAAUAGUUUGCUGGCCAAAUUCAGGUGCAAGAAAUGCGGUCCAUUAUGCGACCGUAUAACAGGUUCGCGGGAUGCAUAAUGGAUCGCAAACUCAUUGAAGAAGUUGUUGAAGGCGGAAAAUACGGUGCAAACUACGAUCGUAAAUCAACAAUGCGGACCGCAUAACCUAAAUGCGACGAAUGCCUAGAAACUAGGGUUUGAAGAUGUGAUGGACUUGAAGAGAAUGCGGACUGCAUGUCUGUUAUGCGAUAGAUAUGCGGUUGCAUAAUUGACCUAUAAGGGUGAUUUUGUCCGAAAUUUGUCUCGAGUUUUGACCCAUUACAAAUAGAGAUGGUUAGUGUAAUGCAAUUGAAAUAGAACCAGAUUUUCAUCCAUGGUAUCAUGAUAUCAAACAAUUUUUAAUAAUAAAGGAAUAUCCCGAGCAGGCUAGUGGAGAUGAAAAGAGAACUAUCAGAAGGCUUGCCAGCAGUUUCUUUUUGAGUGGAGAGGUUUUGUACAAAAGAACUCCAGAUUUGAAUCUUUUGAGGUGCCUAGAUGCCCGAGAAGCUGAAAAGAUCAUGAACGAAGUGCAUUUGGGAGUAUGUGGGCAUCACAUGAAUGAAUAUGUCCUUGCAAAGAAUAUUUUCCAAGCAGGUUAUUACUGGAUGACCAUGGAAAAAUAUUGCUUCAGUUUCGUCCGGAAGUGCCAUCGGUACCAGAUACAUGGUGACCUGAUCCAUGCAUUGCCUUCAAAGUUGCAUCCUAUGUCAGUACUUUGGCCGUUCGUUGACUGGGGUAUAGAUGUUAUUGGGCCGAUUGAACCAAAAACUUCAAAUGAGCAUAGAUUCAUCUUGGUUGCCAUUGAUUAUUUCACAAAGUGGGUCAAAACAGUCACUCUCAAAGCCGUUACUAAGAAAGCAGUGGUGGACUUUGUGCAUUCCAACAUUAUUUGCCGUUUUGGUAUUCCUAAAACUAUCAUUACAGACAACGCUACAAAUAUGAACAACCACUUGAUGAGGGAGGUAUGAGAACAAUUUAAAAUUACGCAUCGUAAUUCUACCCCUUAUCGGCCCAAAGCUAAUGGUGCUGUUGAAGCUGCAAACAAGAAUAUCAAGAAGAUCCUCAGGAAAAUGAUUCAAAGUUCUAGACAAUGGCAUGAAAAGAUGUCCUUUUCAUUAUAGGGAUAUCGCACAACCGUGCACACAUCAGUUGGGGCCAUGCCCUACUUAUUGGUUUAUGGCACUGAAGCCAUAAUACCCGCAGAAAUUUAGAUACCCUCUCUUCGGAUUAUUGUUGAAGCCGAGUUUGAGGACAAGGAAUGGAUCAAAACCUGUUUAGAAUAGUUGACCAUGAUUGAUGAAAAAUGGAUGGCCACAGUUUAUCACGGGCAGUUGUACCAACAAAGAAUGGCCCGUGCCUACAACAAGAAAGUGCGGCGUAGAAAAUUUGAAGUGGGGCAACUCAUUCUGAGAUGUAUUCUCCUGCAUCAUGAAGAAGCCAAAGGAAAAUUUUCUCCGAAUUGGAAAGGUCCUUACAUUGUAAGAAGAGUGUUGCCAAAGGGAGCACUAUAUUUGGCAGAUAUCGAAGGAAAUGAUCAUGAAACAACUAUCAAUGCAGAUGUGGUCAAAAGGUAUUAUGUUUGACCCUUUUACGUAGUUUUAAUGCUCUCUGAUUGGGAUGAUGAAGGCUUUGAUUCCUGCCACCCAAACACUACCGAUCUUUGAAAACCCUUUGAGUCUGUUCCCUUUUUCUUUGAUUACCCUUUUGGAACCUGGAAGUUAUUAUGAAAAAAAUAUUGAUGAAAAAUGAAUGAAAAAACAUGAAAGAAAAAGAAACAAAGNNNNNNNNNNNNNNNNNNNNNNNNNACUGGGGUAGAUGUUGUGAUGAUUUGGCGAUGAUUCGCCUGAAAGGUUCCAAAGUUGUAAUUCAAUCUAAAUUCUUUUACCCCAAAUCAUGUUCAAGUCCUUCCAAUCUAUCGGCAAAGAGGUUCAAAUGGAAGGGAUACAGUUGCUUGGAUCUGAUGCAAUCCAAAUGAGAAAAAUAAAAUGAGAGAGUCUUAUUGGUGAAAACCUUCACGGGCAUCGUAAGGUGAUGGUAAGUAUAGAAAUUGAAAAUGAAAGAGUCUUGUUAGUGAAAACUCGCAAAGAGCACUAUAAGGCGAUUGUAAGAAGAGAAAUGAGAGAGGUCAACUGGUGAAAACCCGCAAAGGGUGCCACUGAUCGAAAAGAGGAUCCUCACAGCCAUUGGCAUCGACAGAGUCCUAGCAAGGUUUUCCAAUUUUGAGGCAUAAGUUGUGAUGAUAUUUUGAGAGUUAGACAGUUUACACAUAUCAGGCAUCCAGUCCAAAAGGCACGUCAUAUUCAUUGAAGUUCGCAUGCACUCCAAAUAAGUCCUAUCUUUAACAGAAAGGGAUACUUCUCAUCUAAAUUCAUUUAUCCAUUCCAUUGUUUGUUUUUCUUUAAAUCCCUUUCAGUCUAACUCUGUUCCGAAACAAAGACAAAGAAGGGAUGACAAGACUAAUUUAUAGGACUAUCGCUUGAUAUGAGCUAAUAUGCAAAAAAAGGCACCCAACCUUUGCAGGAGCAUCAAGUCGACUCCGACUGGCCAUGGUGGCCAAUGCUUCGAAAUAAAAAAAACUCUUGAAAGAAGAAAAUCAAAGGCAAAUGCCCACAAAGGCACAAUAAAGUUAAAAAGGUUAAGUCCCACGUGACUAAUCGUCAUGGUAAAGUUUUGGAAAAGCCAAAAGUUCUCCGGGGCCAGAAAUAUAAUCGGUCUUUAGGAAACAACUAGUUGCAACUAAAAUUAUCAUCAAAGAAGCCGGCCAAGAUCAAGUGACUAAAACACUCAAGGCCGUAAAAUCAACAACCGUUUCAAACUGACAAAUUGUUCUUUGUUUGAGAAACAGAAAACAGGUGCAAUCCAAAGCAACCUUGCAAGAAGCAGGUGCAACCAAAAAGAAAUUGCGCGGAGACUAAAAUAGCUCUGCCGCAACAAUAACUCCAAAAAAGGGAAGUCUUCUCCAAAUUCUUUCCAACAUUUUACUCAUUCUCUUAAUAAAAAAAGGGGAGGAUUCAAAAUCAUGGUAGUAUAGGGUCUCUAAUCCUUAGCUGCAUUUUCCAACAUAGGGUCUCCAUUCCCCAGUUAAUUUUUAUUUCAAACAUAGGGUCUCCACUCCCUAGUCGCUUUUCCAACAUAGGGUCUCCACUCUCUAGUUGAUGUUUAUUUUUAGACAUAGGGUCUCCACUCCCUAGUCGCUUUUCUAACAUAGGGUCUCCAAUUCCUAGUUGAUUUUGUUUUAGACAUAGAGUCUCCAUUCUCUAGUCACUUUUCCAAAAUAGGGUCUCCACUCCCUAGUUGCUUUCAUUUUAGAUAUACGGUUUCCACUCCCUAGUCUCUAUUUUCUCAGGGUACACCAAUCCCAACUUUUAUUGCUUUCAAUAAUGAAGUAGUAUAGAGUUUUGGUACAAAUAACUCAUGAAAUUUUCCUAAUGAAAAUUGGGGCAGAAAAAUUUCGUUCGUUCGUUUAUUUUGGUGUCUGAGUAGGUUUUUACCUCGAGGCACAAGGUUUGAGAUGACUAAAAGAAGAUGUCUCAAUCCAAAAUAAAUAAAAAGAAAAGAAAAGAAGUGAAUCCAAAAUGCAGAAGCAGUAAAAAGUGUGGAUUGCUCAAGACAUGAAUGAAGUCACGAGCAUUGUGUGUCCCGACUUUUAUCAGAAGAAGCCGUAGAAGAAUGAACUGACACCGGCAGUGGGCAAGCAUCAAGAUUCAAAGCAGAGUCUUCAUGAAGAGCCGUUCAAGACUCAAGAUCAAGCUUCAGAAGAUUUAUAGAUAGGAAUCUUAUAACUCAUACUCCUUCCGUUCCAGUUUAUAUGAACCUAUUUUCUUUUUGGUCUGUUCCGAAAAGAAUGACCUCUUUCUAAAUUUGGAAAUAAUUUAGCUUAAACUUACAAUUUUACCCUUAAUGAGAAGCUUUUAUAACCACACAAAUAUCCUGGACCCCUUUUUAACUUAUUUAGGACCACAAAUUUCAAAAGUCUUCAUUUUUUUUAAACUUCGUGCCUAGUCAAACAUGUUCACAUAAAUUGGAACGGAGGGAGUAGUUGAUAUGCUUGUUUAGUUUCUUUUUAUUUUGAUUAUGGUGUAAUAAGGAGCUCAGCAAGCAGUAACAGCACCAACAACAAUGAAAUCACAGCUUUUUCGUAGUCCCAGCUACCAAAAUUUCCAAAACUACACUGACCUGAUUCCUUUAUAGCCAAGGGUAUGUCGGCAACCUCGAAAAUAAGGUUCGGUCAAACUUUUUCAAAAUAGUAUCAAAUGGGCAAUAAUUGCUUAUAUUUUCUCACUUUAUCUUUGCCCGCAAACUCUUCAUGUUUUCGAGCAAAGAGGGGUAGCUGUGAGCACGUAAUUUUUGCCCCACUCGAGAUUGCUCCUGAAAAGUCCAAAAAUAGUCUUCUAAUUAGCUUUGAGUUUUAUAGAAGUUUUAAGGAUUUUUCUCUAUUUUUGUUGUAUGCAUUUUUACGGCAUUUAGUUGCAUUUUCAUAAUUAGAAGCAUUUUAAAUCAUGAAAAAAUCAAAAAUAUUUUUUCUUUAACAUUUUUGGAUUUUAAUUGCAUUCUUAAUUGCAUUUCUAAUAAAAAAUCACAAAUAAAUAACACUUUCAAUUACCCUUAUUUUCUGCAUUUUAGGUUAAUUAAUCAAUUAAAUUCAUUAUGUCACAAGUUUGGUUAGUUGAUCAAAUCUGCAAAAAUAGUUUUAAGUAUAAUUAGGUUGGCUAGAUUUGAAAAAUUGAACAAAGAAGAAGAGAAGGGGCUCUCAGCCUUCGUUUUGGGCCAAGCAGCUCCAAUGGCCGAUUUACAUUCCACAUACACGCACAAACCCAUUCCUCAUCCGGUCCAGUCCCCAUAUUAAUCAAACGACCCCAUUUUGCGACAUUCAAUCCCCAUCCUCCAUCAUUCCCCAUCCAACGGUCCACAAAUCCCCUCCUCAACCCAUAAAAAUGUCGGACCAGAGACCCCUACCCUCUUAAAAUUGUCUCAGACUCGUCUCUCCCACCCCUCUCUUAUCUCUCGCCGUCCACCGCCAUCAAAAAUUGCCUACGGUGGCGGCGCCACUCCAAAUCACCACAAAUUAACACCACAAUAUCCCCCACACCCUUCUAAAUCUUAACCCCUUACCAAUUUUUCCAAAAUCUACACAAAACUCGUCAAAUUUCGGAUCUAAGAAGUCACUAAAAACCUAAAUCCACCCCAUUUCGAGUUUCCCCAAAUUCUAGCCUACCUGAGGUUCAUAUCAACACUAAUUGAACACUUUUGUCGAGAGUUAUCAAUUGGAGUCGAUUUUGGUCCUAUUCUAGGCCACCCGAAUCUGGCCACCACCAUGGAACCCUGAUAAUGUUGAUUUCUUUUGUCGGUAUAUGGCAGACAUCGUCACAUAUACCAUAGGCUACGCCUCGAGUGUGGGCUAAUGCUCAUGUAAUGAUGCCGCCUAUUAGCCGGGUAUCUUUUUUGGGUAACCUUGUCAUCAAAGGGUAAUCCUUCUUUUCGUUUCUUUUAUUACGACCUAUUUGAGGUUAAUGGAUUGACAUUUUGUGUUACAUGUCAUAGAUUAGGUUUAUUUCACAAUUAAGAACAUAUUUUUAGUAUUGGAUUCAACUUUUAUUAAAUUAAUAAAUUGAUAUGUUGAUUGUUAGUACGUCUUCUCGUAUGUUAUCAUGCUCUAGAUUAGUUAUGAUUUCAAAUUCUGUGAUUAGGCUAACGUUUUAAAGCAUAGCAGUCAGUUUUAAUUAGGUUAGAGUGACUUCAAUUGGUUAAUUACAUGUUUGAAUUAGUUUAAUUACCUAAAAUAGGUUAAAGUUUGAAUAUUGCUUGUUGUGCUGUGAUUGUUAAUUCAUCUAAGUUUUAUGAUAGCUAUUUGCAAUUACUGAAAUUCGGGGGUCUAAAAGAAAUAGAAAAAAAUGAAGGAAUCUAUUUUGUUUGGUUGGAAAUGAAUUAAAAUGGGAGAAUAAGUUUAAAACUUGGGGUAAAUAUUGAAAUUUCAAAAGUUUAAAAGGUGCUAGGAACAAAGAGAAAAUAUCUGAAAAGGGACAGAUGUCCUAUUCAGUUAAAAGGAUGCCUUAUCUCCUAUUUUUUAGCUGACAGAAUCUUCUGCAUUCCUCUCUAAUUUUUUCCUCACAAAGGCUUACUCCUACACUAUGUAACAGGUCAUAUAUCACUCACUCAUACACACGAAUUAGACUACAACUUUCAAAGAUCUUUCAUUUUUCUCCACCCUCAUUUUCAGUACAAAAGCUUCUGAAAUUCCAGUCCUAAAAGCUCUACAAAAAACUAAGAGAUAAAAGGUUCAAGACUUUUUUCUGAGUUUAAAUCUUGUGCUACAAGUUCUGGGUUUAUAGAUGUUGAGGUCAAAGAAGAGUCGCUAUUUUGUUGGAAUUGAAGUUCAGAUUGCUCCUUGUUUCCAUGUUGCUAUUUCACUACUAGUAGGUGCGUUUAUCCAUCUUGUUACUUUCUACUUGAACUAUAAAUAAAAUUAGAUUGUUUAUGAUAUACUCUUGCAAUUAUCCUAAUUUCAACAUGUUUAAUGUCUAAAUUUGUUGUGGUUUCAUACUUAUUAAUCCGUGCAAUUGUUGGAAUGUUAAAAUUAUGUGAGUUGUUUGUAGAAUGUUAAUAGGUGAUUUAACAACUGUUUGAAUGUCAUUCUGUUCUUUUUUUUUUCUUUACUUUCUUUCUGAAAUGUGCGUGAGUUUCAUUAUGUUUACUUCAUUGUGAAGUGAUGUAUGAAUUUGGUUCAUAUUUUCUUUCAAUUUGCUCAGCAUAGUAUUUUUAACAAGUGAGUAUAGCUUUGUAGUUAUUCUGUCACAAAGCUUUACAAGCCAAGAGGAUCAUGAGAUGUGGCGAUUACAGAGAACUAGUUGUUCAUUUGAAUAUGUAACUAGCUUAAAGCAUCAUCAUAAUAUGUAUCCUAUAAUAGAUUUUCAGAUGUAUGAAUCAAUUGUCAAUUGUAUUUAAAUCUAGCAUUAGUUCAGUUUGUUGAAAGUAUUUAAUCAUGGUUCAAUUGGUUUAGUAGAUUAAUUAUGCCCGUUUUCUUUUUUGGCCAACUAUGUGUUAGUGAAUAAACGUGUAAUGGAUUAGGUGCAGCAAAAUUUCCUUAGGAAAGCUUAUGACAUUUUUCUUAGUUCAUUUGGCCUUUGCUUGAGGGGUAGACUUCAAAAAGAAGUCAGCAGUGGAAGGUCUCAUAGCUGGGAUUCAUUUGAAAACCCAUUUGGACGUCAGUCACCCUCAUGAUCGACUUAGUCUCUUUAAGUAAAUGUGAUUGGCCCUUUUCUUACGAAUUUAUUCAUUUGACUUCCUUUUAUUUAGACAAGUAAAUGAAUCUGCUAAUGAAUUGAAUACCUAAUCUUACAAGGAAUUUUUCAUAAAUCAUGACCUCACAACAAAUUUCAAAGCAGUUUAGGAAAAUAAUUCUAAAUAUCGUAGUUUGCUUUAGGUGCGACUAAUAAUAAAUCAUCGUGACUAUGAGUAUGGUUCCUGUGACAUAUUCAUGAUACGUAAUCCCCAAUUUGAGUAAGCGUUUCACGUGACUCAACCAUAACUUCAAUAAUAAUAAAAGUUAACAUGUUGUAAAUCGUGGCUGUGUUUCAUGUGCCGCGAUUCGCAAUGUGUACAAAAAUAAACGAGUGUGCGACAUCACGACUUAUACAAAUAAAUUCCAUAAAUACUAAAAGUCGUUAAAAAGUAAAAAAAAAUACAUAGUAGGUUUCAAAUAUGUAUUAAAUCAGAUAAUUAAGUCAAUUAUUAAAUAGUUGAGCGACCGUGUUAAAACCACUGAACCCGGGAAUACCUAACACCUUCUCUCAGGUUAACAUAAUUCCUUACCCGGUCUUCUGGUUUCGCGAACUUUUUAAACAAAGUCAAAUUUCCUAGAUUUGGGAUUUAAAAAAUAAACCGGUGACUUGGGACAUCAUAAAUUAUUCCAAGUGGCGUCUCUGAAAUAAAUAAUAUCAUUUCGAUUAAUGUCACUUUAAUUGGAAAAACUCUCUAUCCAUUCGGGAAAAGGGAGGUGUGACAGGGACAUGUAAAGGUUGUUUUCCCUUGAUCUUCCGUAGCAAUAAAAAUUUGGUUGUAGCCCGAAUACCCAUCAUGAAAGCAAUAGAAAGCACGCGGCCAAUCUAUUGAUUAUUUGAUCUAAGAAAGAAAGUGGAAAGUGAUCCUUCCUUGUGACAUUGUUAAGCUUGCGAUAGUCCAUACAAACUCUCCAACUAGUCACCUUUCUUGUAGGAAUCAACUCAUUCUUGUCACUGGUGACCACCGUCAUGCCUCCCUCUUUGGGACACAUUGGACUGGAAAGUCCACGAACUAUCGGAGAUGGGAUAUAUAACCCUGGCAUCCAACCACUUAAUAAUCUCCUUUUUGACAACUUCUUGCAUAGCCUCAUUGAGUCUCCUUUGAUGUUCAAUAGAUGGUUUGACGCCUUCCUCCAAGUUGAUCUUAUGCAUGCAAAAUGUGGGGCUUAUCCCCUGAAUAUACACCAAGGUCCACCCAAUAGCCUUCUUCCUCUUUUGUAACACCUCCAAAGUGGAAUUUACUUGCACGUUAGUAAAAUAAGAGGAAAGAAUAACCAAUAAAGUAGAACAAGGAUCAAGAAAUUCAUACCGAAGAUUUAGAGGCAAUGGUUUCAACUCCAAGGUAGGAGGCUCUUCAAUAGAAGGCUUUGUAGGAGGAGUUGCCCUAUUUUCAAGAUCCAAGGAAAAUUUUCGGGUGCAUAGUUGUAUGACCUCAUUCCUUGCAAAGAGUUCACACAUUCCAUGAAGCCAUCCAUAUCAUCAUCAUCAAAGUUGAGCAAGACGGCCUCCAACAUAUCACCAACAUUGAUCAUAGCACUUGUUUCAUCAAUAAUAACAUCGGUCACCCAGUCCACAAAUGAGCACAUCUCAUUGCUAUUUGGUUGUCGCAUUGACUUACACACAUGGAAACUACUUUUUCAUCACCAACCUAGAAAGUAAGUUCUCCGGCUUCAACAUCAUAAAGAGUCUUCCCCACAGAAAGGAAAGGUCUACCAAUAAUAAUCGACACCUUAUAAUCAACUUCACAAUAUAAAAUGACAAAAUCAGCCGGAAGAAUGAAUUUAUCAACAUGAACCAAGCCAUCUUCAAUCACUCCCAAGGAUCUCUUCAUAGUACGAUCUGCCAUUUGCAAUCUCAUAGAGGUGAGUCUUGGUUGCCUAAUUCCCAAAGUCUUGAAAAUCGAAUAGGGCAUUAAAUUGAUACUUGCCCAAAGAUCACAAAGAGCUUUAGCAAAUUCGACACUUCCAAUUGUACAAGGAAUCAGGAAAGUACCGGGAUCCUCCAACUUAGGAGCCAUUGAAUGCACAAUUGCACUCACUUGAUGAGUGACUUUGAUGGUUUCAAAAUUCAAUGAGUGCUUAUUUGUCACAAGAUCUUUCACAAACUUUGCAUAACCGGGCAUUUGCUUUAAGGCUUCAACUAAUGGCACCUUGAUUGAGAGACUCUUCAUCAUUUGACUGAACUUCUUGAAUUGAUUCUCACCAAUUUUCUUGGCAAGUCUUUGAGGAUAUGGAGGUGAAGGCUUAGGUAAUGGUGCCUUAGCCUUUUGCACUACCGGAUUUGUAUGUAAAUAAUGUGAUCCCUAAACGGGCUCACUACCUCUUGAGUCACUUCCGCACUAUCAUCAAUAUCAAUCCGAACUUCAUCAUUUGACUGCACCACAUUGAUAGGGAUCUCUUCUUCUUGCACCACUUGCUCAUAAUCCACAAGUUGCCUUUGACUUGAGGUGAGUGCAUUCCCACCUCUUCAACUUCUUGUAGAAACGGCAAUGGCAUGUCCCAUGUUGUUUCCACCUUUUGGGUUUACUAUCGUGUCACUUGGUAGUGCCCCAUUAGGACAAGAAUUUAGAACUUGAGAGAUUUUCCCUAUAUGAACUUCUAAGUUAUGGAUUUAUGUGUUAUGUGAGACAAGUUGGGCAUCUUGAACAUAUUCUCAAUACGCCCCAUCUCAUUAUUUGAAGAACUUGGAAAACAGGAAGGAUAAGGAGGCGGGUUGCUUAGUUGUUGAUACAUCGGGGGCCUUUGAAAACCCAGCCCCCAGUUGCCUUGAUUGUUACCCCCCCUAAUUUCCUUGAUUUUUUCACUCUAAUUUCCUAGANNNNNNNNNNNNNNNNNNNNNNNNNUUGUUGUUGUUAUGCCAAUUCCCUUGAUUGUUGCCACCACUCCAAUUUCCUUGGUUGUUAGAAUUCCAAUUGCCUUGAUUAUUUUGAGGUCGCCAUUGUUGUUGGUUUGGGAAUUGGAAGUUGUUUCUUUGCCCUUGAAAAUUUUUCACAUAUUGCACCUCGUCUUCUUGUUCAUUAUAAGAAUCAUCUUGAUCAAAAUCGCUAUCCUCUUGCACAUAAUUCUCCACUCGAUUUUGCACUUGUGGACCCUUGGUCCUUCUCUUGCUUACCAUCAUGUUCUGGGGUGGCCCUUCCAUAAAGCAAGUAAAGCAACCGAUUUAGGCCCCAUAUUCGUGGGGACCCCAUUUUUUGUUACACCUAAUAGACUAUGUAUAAGUAAAAAAGAGUUAUGUAAAGUGAAAAAGUUUGGUUUCUUUAUUUAACAAAUAUAGAGAAGAAGGAUUUACAACUACUAUGAUUUCUACCAAGAAAAUUGCAUUUGAAAUGAAUAUCGAACCCGAAUUUCGUAAGAAACGUGUGAUAUAUAGGAAGUAACAAUUUGAUGCGAAUGUUGAUAAUCUCAAAAUAUUUUGAAGAGUACUUUAGAGUUGAUUAAUUUUAUUCAUAAUAGACAAUGCUAUUUUUUCACUUCAAAAUAGAUUUGAAAAAAUCGAAGCAUAUGAAAUAUUUUUGGUUUUCUAUUUGGUAGUAAAAACUAAGAUCACUAGUUGUUGAAAAUUUUAAAAAAUAUUACCUUAAUGUUGAAUAUUCCUUAAAGCAUAAUAAUCAAUUCGAUAUUGAUGGGUUAGAUUUAUUUUCUAAAUUAAAAGUAUUAAGAAAAAUAGUACAAUUAGAAGAUAAUAGUUUAAUUGAUACAUUUAAUCAAAUAAAAAGAUUUAGUUCUUUUCCAAAUGCCUAAAUUGCUUAUGGAAUAAUGUUCAUAACUUAUGUUAUCGUUGCUUCAGCGGAAAUAAGUUUUCAAAAAUUAAUUUUGAUAAAAGUUUACCUAAGAACAACAAUGUCACAAGAAAGAUUAAUGGAUUAGCUAUAUUAUCAAUUGAGAAAUACUUAUUAGGAUUUAUUGAUUAUAAGAAAAUUAUUAAUAAUUUUGUAUCUAAGAAAAGUAAAAAAACAAACGUCAAAUAAAUAAUUAAAAAAAUUAAAAAGUUAAGGCCCCUCAUAAACUUUGGCUUUAGGCCACAAAAUUUGUCGGGCCGCCAUGUUCACCCCUUCCAUGCAUUGACUUGCUUAGGAUUUUGCACUUGAUGAAGUUGAGCCUUUGCUAGUUGCUUCAUGGUAGUUGUCAAUUCGGCAAUGGCUUUCCCAUGGUCAUGCAACUCUUUAUGAAGGUGGAUCAUGUUCGGAUCACCUUGUGGAAUAUUAGCACUUGAUUGCCACACCGAUGAUGUUUCCGCCAUUUCAUCCAAAAUCUCACACGCCUCCGCAUAAGGCGUAGUCAUAAAGUUUCCACCGGCAAGUUGAUUCACUACAUAUUGGUUGGUUGUGUUAAUCCCACGAUAGAAGGUUUGUUGAAUCAUGUUUUCCACCAUAUUGUUGUUGGGACAUUCCUUGACCAUUGUUCUAUAUUGCCCCCAUAUCUCAUGUAGUGGUUCAUUCGGCUCUUGCUUGAAUGCCUAAAUCUCAUCUAGAAGUGUAGCCAUAUGCCUGGGAGAGAAGAACUUAGCAAUAAAUUUUUCCACCAACUCAUCCCAAGUAUGAAUGGAAUGGUUCGGUAAUCGUUCUAACCAAUCUAAUGCUUUCUCCCUUAGAGAGAGGGGAAAAAUCCUUAGCCUCAAUGCAUCCUCAGAGAUAUUUUUUUUGUUUUCUCCCCCAACAAGUGUUCACAAACCCCUUCAAAUGUUUAUACGCGUUUUGACUUAGAGCACCGGUGAAGAAACUCCGUUGCUCAAGCAAAGUGAGUGAGCAUCAUAUUGGCGAUUUGAAAUUUGCCCGCCCUAAUACGGAGAGGGACUACUGCACUAGCAUAUCCUUCAUUGGGUAACACCGACUAUGGAGCCGCUCGUGGUGGAGGUGGGGGUGGAGUGGGGACAUUGUCAUGAGGUGCUCAGCCUCUUCUAUUGGAUUGAGGUUUAAGAGGAACCUCAUCAACUUGCUCAUCGUCGAUGUCAACAUCCCCCAAAGGCAUAUUUCCAAGUUCAUUGUUUGCCACCAUAAUUGUACCAAAAAGAAUUUCACAAAAGUUAGUAACAACGGAAGGAAAAGAAGAUAGUCCAAAGACAAACUCAAAUGUAUAGCUAACACCGUUUGUAAGUACUCUCCGGCAACAGCUUCAAAAAUUGAUGACGUCCAUUACACACCUCAAUUAGAGAUAUGAUACGGUCGUAUGUAAUAAUAAUUACCCAACUAGGAGUCGGGGUCGAUUCCACUAGGAGUUAUAAGGGGUGCUAGAGUAUAUACUUAAAGCAAGCAAAUGGGUUAUCUUGAUUGCACUUCAACAAUAAAGUUUUAUUUUCUAAUUCUACUGUUACACUAAUGAAUGCAGCUAAAGAAAAUAGAUUAGAGAUAAAUGUUCUUAAGUUUUUUCCAAAUGGGUAAAAGGCCUAGGGUUGUGACUAUUCUACGUGUUUACCUAAUGUGAUAAAGACGUUAAUGCUUGUUUUGUUGAUUGGAGUGUGUUAAAGCUCUCAACUCUACAUUACACACUCAAUACCUUUCUGCCAGAGAGUGAUUUUUCCCAAUUUGGAUUUCUUAAGUCCAAAUGGGUAACAACCAAAAUAGGUGAUUGUGACGACCCGGCUGGUCGUCUUAAGAAUUUACGCCUCGAUCCCCUAUUAAUGCUUUCCCCGUAUUUGUUUCUGCUAUUGUGGGUUGCCGCGAAGAAUUAUUUGAAGUUUCGGAGAGUUUUGGGACACUUAAUCCCUAAAUGAGAGUUUAAGUUCUGGAAAUUUGACCGUACUCGGAACAGUGUGAGGACAUUGUUCCGUUAGUUCUGUUAGGUGAUUUCGGGUUUAGGAGCAUGUUCGGAUUGUGUCUUAGAGGUCCGUAGCUAAUUUAGGCUUGAAAUAUCAAAAGUUGAAUUUUUGAAGUUUCCGGUUCGAUAGUGAGAUUUUGAUCCGAGGGCCGGAAUGGAAUUUCGGAAGUUGGAGUAGCUCUGUAGUGUUGAAUGUGACGUGUGUGCAAAAUUUCAGGUCAUUCGGACGAGGUUUGAUAGACUUUUUGAUCGAAAGCGUAUUUUGAGAGUUUUUGAAGUUCUUAGGCUUGAAUCCGAUGCUAAAUUGGUGUUUUGAUGUUGUUUUGAGCAUUCCAAAGGUUGGAACAAGUUUGAAUGAUGUUUUAGUAUUGGUUGGCAUGUUUGAUUGAGGUCCCGGGGGCCUCGGAUGAGUUUCAGAUGCUUAAUAGAAAUUGAAUUGGACUUAGGAAGAAUUGGAAUUGCUGAAUAUGUCAUAACCGCACCUACAUGUGUGGGACUGCAGGUGCGAUGCCACAGAAGCGGCUAGGUGGCCGCAGGAGCGAGUUUGGGCCAAAGCUCCAGGAUCGCAGGUGCGGCUGGGUUUUCGCAAAUGCGGUGCCGCAGAUGCGGCCAAGCGACCGCAGAAGCGGACCCAACCCGUUAAGUGAUGUUUGCACCUACGAUGCCUUCUUCCGCAGGUGCGGGACCGCAGGUGCGCUCCCUUGACUGCAGAUGCGGUAAUCGCUAGGCAGAAAUAUGAAAUUUUGAGGGUUUAGUUCAAAACUUGGAAAAAUCGAAUUAGAGCUCGAGGUAGGGCGAUUCUGUGGGGUUUUUGAAGAGAAGAUCACUGGGUAACAUAUCCUUGUACCUUUCUAGUUGUAUUCCAUUAAUCUAUUAUUAGUUUUAUCAUUUAAUUUCGGAUUGGAGAUGAAAAUUGGGGAAAAGUUGGAAGAAAGUUCUUAGACCUAGAAUUCGAAUUUUGUUUGGGAAUUUGACCUUGGAUUUGGAUAAUUUUUGUAUGCAUGAACUCAUGAGAGUAUGAGGAUUCUGAAAAUAUAAAUUUUUCCCGAUUCCAAGACGUGGGCCCGAGGGGCAUAUUGGUCAUUUUACCUAAUUAGCGUAUUAGCUUAGAAUUUAUUUGUAGAAUUAGUUACUUGAAGUGUUAUUUACAUUAUGCAAUUGAAUUGACUAGAUUUGGGCCAUUUGGAGUCGAGUACUCGUGGCAAAAGCAUGGUUUCAGGUUGAUUUUGAGCUGGUUCAAGGUAAGUGGCUUGCCUAACCUUGUGUGGGGGACAUUCCCCUUAGGAUUUGGCAUUUGUGGUAAUUGAAAUGUCUUGUACGUAAGGUGAUGAGUGCGUACUUGUGCUAAUUUUUGAAAAUCAUGUUUUCACUAAAGUAACUUUAAUUGUGUUUUCCUUCCUGCUUAUUCUACUUGAAAUUUAAGCAUGUUGCUAGCUUAGAGAAGCAUGCUUAAUUGACUUAGUUGCCUUAUUGCUUGAACUGCCUUACUUGUAUUAUGUCCAUGUUAGGUUAGAAUUACCUGUUUUACUUUGGUACAAAAUUGAGUUUAAUUGAGUAUUCUUUGUGUUAUUGCUGUGUGUUUUACUUUGGGACUACGGGACGACAUCCCGGGAGAUCCCCUGUACGUAUUUUUAUGAUUUGAGCUGAGGUGCGGGAUACCGAGAGAUCCCCAGCAUGUAUAUUGAGGAUACCAAGAGAUCCCUAGCAUAUAUUGGGGAUACCAAGAGAUCCUCGGGAUACCAAGAUAUCCCUAGCAUAUAUUGAGGAUACUAAGAGAUCCUUGGGAUACCAAGAGAUCCCUGGCAUAUAUUGAGGGUACUAAGAGAUCCUCGGGAUAAUGAGAGAUCCCCGGUUAUUAUCUUUGUGAAGAGUGGUAUUCCUGGUGAUUGUUUUUGCCUCUGUUUCAGUUGUAGUUAUCCUUAUUAUCCUCUAUUAAUUCUUAUUGUUAUCUUUCAACUGUACUGCUUUAUCUUAUACUGUCGCACUUUAUAUUUCAUUUAGUCUCAGCAGGGCCCUGACCUUCCUCAUCACUAUCCGACUGAAGUUAGGCUUGGCACUUACUGAGCACCGCUGUGGUGUACUCAUGCCCCUUUCUGUGCAUGUUUUUCAUGUGUAGAUACAGGUACCUCCACUCAAACGUAUCACGCUUGAGACGAGGCGUUCGUGGAGACUUCGAGGUAUAUCUGCCGCGUCCGCAGCCCGAAGAGCCCCUUUCUACUCUCCCUUUUGUAUUAGCCCUUCUGUACUUUCAUUUCUUUGUUAGACAUUCUGGAGUUAGAUACUUGUAUAAAUUCAAAGGCUUGUGAUCAUGAGAUUUCGG
rnacentral:lncRNA from 1 species